AGUCAGAUGCAAAGAUAGCAGUGCCUGGUAUACGGUCCUUGGUAUCCUGCCAUACAGCGACAGGGGGGUUUGCAGCGACUGCUGUUUGGUUGUCCUCGUUGUCCUGCCAUACACCGCCAGGGGGGUUAACCCCAUCUUGGAAGGUCACGGUAGCUAUUAGGGUGGCAACUACCAAGAGAGCGUUGCGGGCGUCGGCUCUAUUCUUAUCCCUGUCCUCCUCGUUUGCACCUUCCUUGUACUGAAAAUAACGACACCAGUCCCUGAAAGUAGUCCCAACCAUUGUUUUCUCUUGGGUUUUGAACUACAAACAGGAUUCAAGAAUUGAAGAAGCUUUCUGUUUAUGGGGAUAUGAAGAAAAACAAAGUAGUAGAUGGAUUUCUCCAGAAAAGCUUGGGGUUUGGCUGAGUCUUAAUGCAGCUAUUUAUAGUUCGCAACAGCAUCAAUCGCGUGACAAAUAUGAAGAAAAUUCACUGUUCUUUUUCUAUAUUUGCAUGAUUAUGUUUGGACAAAAUGAGAAGUAGAUUCCUAUCUCAUCUUUGGACGUCAAUAAUUUAGAUUUUUUCAACCUUGUCAAUGUUGUAAUUAGGACAAAAAACCUGAUAGGCACUUCCACUUUCACUGCCAAGAUAUGUCUGUAUGAUUUGUAUUUCUCAAUUUUACACAGCAUUAUCUUCCUUCUUGGUCAGUGCAGGAAAGAAGAUUACAUAAUCAUGCAUUUCGAGUUUAUAUAAGUAUAUAUUUGAUAUUUUAAUAAGUCUUACUAUCCAAAAUUUCAGUAACACAAUAUUAUUGAAUACCCAUAAUUAAAGGGUUAUUUACAAAAUAUGUAAAAAAAUUAAAUAAUUAUAUGAUAUUUCGGUAGGUAAGUAUCUAAUCAUUAUUUUACGUAAUAAAGUAUCUAAUAUUUCAAUAAUUUUAUUUAUUCAUGUUUUUCAUAUAAGUUAUUGAUAAAGCAUGUUUAUGGUGACUAAAUAAUAUAUGAAAAAUAAGAAAAAUAAUCAUUCAUUUCAAAGUUAGUAAAAAAAUUGAUAAAAGUUACGAAAAAUAAUCAUAUUUUUAAAAUUAAUGUUUUUGCUUUCCAAAAUUAUUUUAAAAGUUACAGAAAUCACAUAUUCUUAAAUUUUUACAUAAUGUUAUUCACAAAGAACAUAUUAUAAGCAGGUGGACUGAAAAUAAUGACAGGAGGGUAGCAGUCACUUUUAAUUUUUAAAUUUUAUUCCGAAAUCGAAUUAUUAACUUGAUAUAAAACUUUAUAAAAUUAUUUUUUUUAAAUUUUUUUAAAAUAUANNNNNNNNNNNNNNNNNNNNNNNNNNNNNNNNNNNNNNNNNNNNNNNNNNNNNNNNNNNNNNNNNNNNNNNNNNNNNNNNNNNNNNNNNNNNNNNNNNNNNNNNNNNNNNNNNNNNNNNNNNNNNNNNNNNNNNNNNNNNNNNNNNNNNNNNNNNNNNNNNNNNNNNNNNNNNNNNNNNNNNNNNNNNNNNNNNNNNNNNNNNNNNNNNNNNNNNNNNNNNNNNNNNNNNNNNNNNNNNNNNNNNNNNNNNNNNNNNNNNNNNNNNNNNNNNNNNNNNNNNNNNNNNNNNNNNNNNNNNNNNNNNNNNNNNNNNNNNNNNNNNNNNNNNNNNNNNNNNNNNNNNNNNNNNNNNNNNNNNNNNNNNNNNNNNNNNNNNNNNNNNNNNNNNNNNNNNNNNNNNNNNNNNNNNNNNNNNNNNNNNNNNNNNNNNNNNNNNNNNNNNNNNNNNNNNNNNNNNNNNNNNNNNNNNNNNNNNNNNNNNNNNNNNNNNNNNNNNNNNNNNNNNNNNNNNNNNNNNNNNNNNNNNNNNNNNNNNNNNNNNNNNNNNNNNNNNNNNNNNNNNNNNNNNNNNNNNNNNNNNNNNNNNNNNNNNNNNNNNNNNNNNNNNNNNNNNNNNNNNNNNNNNNNNNNNNNNNNNNNNNNNNNNNNNNNNNNNNNNNNNNNNNNNNNNNNNNNNNNNNNNNNNNNNNNNNNNGCCGCCGGGGACUGUUCUCAUUGACUGAGGUGUCCUUUCUUUAUCGUCCAGGUUGCCAUUUGAUUUAGUUUAAUGGUUGUUUUAAUAAUAUAGUUCAUUUUGCUGUCAAAAGAUGUCCUCAAUUAUGUUUUGCUUUCUGGAAAAAAGAAAUGAAAUUUACUGUGAUUUACUACCAUAGGCAUAUUUUAAUCUAUUAUAUUAGUCUUUAUUUGAGUUUAAAAUGUGUUUUUAUCAUCAUUUGUUCAAUUCUCGUUCGAAUAUAAGAUUGAAAAAUAAAAAAUAUUAGAAAAAAGUAAAUAUCAAUUAUAUAAUUAAUUAAAUAUAAUUUUUUUUUAAUAAUAAUGAUCAUUUUAUUCAUAAUUGAUAAUAACAUGAUCAUCGAUUUAAAUUUACUAUCCUUAACAAAUCAGUUAAAGACUCUUAUCAAUAUUACAGUUACAUUUCAACAUCAACAUCUAUUGCAAUCAAAAAACUCAAAUAUUCUCCGAUAACAGGAUACAAAAAAUUCAUAUAAAGAAGAAUAACACUUACUUGAUUAAGAACCCAAUAAACUUCAAAGUUUUAAAAAUAAAGAACAAGUUAUUAUAUAUGUUGGCAAGAUAACAAUUACCAGAGGAGUAAAUUUCUAAGGUACUGAAUCAAUUCAUGGUACAAAGAGGAGCCACAUUCUGAAUUCCAAGUCGAUUUCCGUUCGUCUCUAAUGCUUUCGCCUUGUAUCUGGACCAACUCUCCAUUUCUUGAACAACCGUAUGGUAAACCGUGCAAACUCCUCAAGAAAUCGAAUUCCCAUCACAGUGACCGUGUUACAUAGAUCACUCAUUUUCGUUGGACGUAUAUAGCUAAUAGCUACGACAGAAGUAGCAAUCAUUGAAAACAUGGCCAGCCGCAAGCCUGCCCUGGGAGGCAUGGGCGGACCCAUGUAUAUCAGUAUAUGUGAGUGGUGUCACAUGACACCACUCAAUUAAAUAAAUAUUUAUUUAUUAUAUUAUUUUUUUAAAGUUUUAUAUAUUUAAUAAUACUAUAAACUUAUUAUUUUUUUAUAAUUUUGUAAAAAGUGAGGUCAAAAAGUAAAUUUUAUUAAAAUUUUUAUAUAUUAAUAAUAUUUAAAUAUUUUUUAAAAAAAUAUUUAAAUAUUAUCAAAAAGUAAAUUUAUAAAAAAAUAAUUUAUAUAUUAACAUUUAAAUUUUACAUGAAAAAUUAAAAUAUUUUUUUAUUAUUUAAAAUUUAUUAAAAAAGUCAAAACCUAAACUACUCUCACUCUUCAAAAAUUUUAGUCUUAUUAUUAAGACUUACAAUGACUUUCCUCUUUUUUAUCAUUGAUUGUGUUUUUCAUUCUCUCAAAGUAACUCAACUAGAUUUUAAUUGUAAAAAAUUUUUAAACCAAGUUAAGUUUUUAAAUAUUUCAUGUUUAAAUAUUCGUUGAUUAAUUUGAUAGUUUGGAUUCAUAAUUAUAUUCUUGAAAUUAUUAGUCUUUUUUUUGUAGAUAUUGAUUAUUUAAUUUUUGUAUUUAACUUUAUGUGGUUUGUAGAUUAUUAUAUUUAGUUUUGAUCAAUAAAUAGAAAAUUGUUUUAUUAUUAGUUGUUGAACUUGAUAAUUUGCUAUGUAAGAUUAUAUUUUGUUUAAUUCUAAUAUUUUAGUUUAUGGUAAUGAGUAGUAAUUUUUAACAAGGUUUUAUAAUUUUAAAUAAAUAAGCCAUGGAAAGAUAUUUUACAAGAAAAAAAAAAUUAUUUCACAAGAAUCAGAUCCCGAGCAACAACAACAAAAUUCUACUAACGAUUUUAGUCAACAAUCGUCUAAGUAAAGUUGUGUUGAAUUUGAUUUAAAUACUCUUCUGACAUAUCCUGAAUUGAGAAAUUUUUUUUUGAGUAUCAUGAUCAAAAUGAAAUUAGAAGAGCAUAUUUGCAGAAAGGGUCACUGAUACUAUCAUACCAUGUUUUCACAAUAUGAAAAAUUGUCAUGGAUAAUUAUAGGUUUUUAGAUAUUUUUAUUUUGAAGUAUUAAAUGAAUAUAUUGAAUUUACAUUUUUCUUAAUUUAAUGUUAAAAUUUUUAUUUUAUGAAUUUUAACAUAUUUAUUUUUUUACUUAGUAUUUUAAUUAUAACACCACUCAAGAAAAUUCUUGAGUCUGCCCCUGCUAAGAGGGAAUCCACUGGUGAGGAGAAAGGUCAUGGCAACUGAUGCAAUGAAACCAAUUGAAUUAAAACCGAUGAACACAGAAAAGAUUGGAGGGUUUUUACUCAUGACAGCCUCUCCGAGUGUCAUGGUUCUAGAUCUCUUCUGAACGACGUGGGUGCCGACGGUCGUAGAAUUUUUACUCUCUGCUAACCAAAAACCACUUGGUGGGCUCAGAAUUGCUUGGUAUGUGAUCGUUGCUAUCAGGACUGGCACAACCAUUAAUGAGUUUUUAGUUUCACUUGAUGAUUCCGUAACCUCUUUCAUCAGUUCCUUCCAUAGGUUCCAUGAACAACAAGAUCGCAAUAUUUGCUCGUUGUUAAGGCUUUCUGCUUCGGUUUGGAUAUGAGCAGGGCCUGUUGUGAUUUCUUGGGCUUUCACAGCUCCAGCUUGCUGAAACAUCUGAUAAAUAUGAAUAUCACACAAAUCAGCUCCACUUUGGAGCAGAAGAUCUAGGACAUCCUUCGGCGUAAAGCCGUUUGAGGUUAUGGCAUUUGCGUUAACCCUGGAAACCACUGCUUCUUGACCAAUUAACAGAGCUAUAAUCUGCAAAUGAUAUACAUCCAUAAUUUACAACUUCUGUAAAGGAUUCAAUGUGGAAUUAAACAUAACUUUUUAGAAAAUAUCGACAACGCAAUCAGUACAAUCUAUUCUUCCUUAGAAUUUAGGGUAGUCUAGGAAUUAAAGAGAAUUUAAUUAGAAUAACAGGCUUUGGACUCUAGCAUGAUCAAAACUAGGAUUUAGUCGCUCAUCUACUUCAACUUAUACGUGACAUCUUUCCGCAACCAGAACGCUGUAGAAGAAAUGUAGUUUGGUAUUUAUUACAUUUCCAAUUAAAUAAUGAUUUGCAUAAGUUUAUUGAUAAUUAAAGUUAAAUUUCAUUUGUCGAGAAAGUAAUGAAAGAUUUUUAAUUUUAACUUUGAUUUACAAGUUAAUAAAUAAUCAUAAUUUUAUUAAUUAAUUAAUUAAUAUUAAAAUUUAUCUUUAAUUAUAGGAAAUUGAAAAAAAAAAUAGGUUUCAAAUCUCACGAUUUCUUUUUAGAUUUAUAUAUUAUAUGUGUAUAUAAACAAUGGUAUAUAUAAAUUAUAAUUAAUAAUUUUAUAAAUUAUAAUUUUGUAAUGUUAACACAAAAUAAAAAAUAAAUAUGUUUACAUUUAAAGUACAUAUACAUAUAUAUACUAAAAGUAUUUUAAUAUAUACAAUAGUAAUUAUAUUCUUUAUAAAUGAACUUAAUAUAUAACGAAUAUAUAUUAAAAGACAUUAUAUGUCAAUUAAUAAUUAUUGUUUCAUGAAUUAAUUUAAUUAAUAAUAUAGAUUUGUCUUUAAUUACANNNNNNNNNNNNNNNNNNNNNNNNNNNNNNNNNNNNNNNNNNNNNNNNNNNNNNNNNNNNNNNNNNNNNNNNNNNNNNNNNNNNNNNNNNNNNNNNNNNNNNNNNNNNNNNNNNNNNNNNNNNNNNNNNNNNNNNNNNNNNNNNNNNNNNNNNNNNNNNNNNNNNNNNNNNNNNNNNNNNNNNNNNNNNNNNNNNNNNNNNNNNNNNNNNNNNNNNNNNNNNNNNNNNNNNNNNNNNNNNNNNNNNNNNNNNNNNNNNNNNNNNNNNNNUUUCUUAUAAAUUAACACAAUAUAUAAACUAUAUAUAUUAAAAGAUAUUAGAAGUUAAUUAAUAAUCAUAGUUUUAUAAAUUAAUUUAAUUAACUAUAUGAAUUUGUCUUUAAUUCAUGAAAUUAAAAAAAAAAAUUUUCAAAACUAUUCUAAUCUCAAAAGCUCUCUUUAAGUAAAUAUAUUAUAAGUUUAUAUAAACAAUGGUAUAUAUAUUAUAAUUAAUAAUUUUAUAAGUUAUAAUUUUUAUAAUAUUAACACAAAAAAAAAAUAUUUAUAUUAAAAAUAUAUAUAUAAUAGUAAUUAUAUUCUUUUAUAAUAUAAUAUAAUAUAAUAUUCAUAUUAUUUGAAUAUAAUAAAUAAUAAAUACACAAGCUAAUAUCGCAUUACAAAAGAAAGAACAAUGAACUAAAUAAAAAGACAGACAAGGCUUUAAAAACAAGUUAAAUGCAUGAACAUUUUUCGCUAUCAAAAUGGCUAAACGAACAUUGUUCAUACAUUACAGUCUGGCUAUCAAAAGUCUCAUUGUCGAUUAAUUUCUGAAAUUUCUUUUAGUUGAUGAUUGUGCCUUUUUUAGUGGUCAAGAAAAUUCUAAUUACCCUGUAACAUCUGAUAAUGCGUGUGAAUAUACUGCUUGAACUUGAAACCCUUGGAAUAUAUCAGAUAAAAACAAUAUAAAAACUAGCAUUAAAAGUCUGACAAUGAGAGUUUCCUUUUCAGUGAUGCCCCUUAUUCCCCCAAUUCUGUUAAGGGUGAUACUUUUGGUUGAUACCUGCUCUUAUCCACCUUAAGAUUCUCACAGAAAUUUUUCUUUUUUCUUUUGGCGUGCCACUUAAAGUGCAGAGGUGACGAUUGUGUUCAUAAUUGGGCAGCAUUUCGGGCUGGAACAAAGAAUGAAAACAUUGAGUGGUGCGUAGAGGCCCUGGCCUGGGAUUUAGUGAUACUUACAAAGUAGGUGAGUUGACAACACUAAUUUGUACACAAAGAAAUGCUGUUUUUUUGCUGGUGGUUCAUUUGGGUACAGAGAUGGGUCAAAAUAGAUUGCUCUAUUUGACACUUGUCUUUAUUCUUUUGGAGGGGGACAUGGAACAUGUGCAUGCAGUCACAAGCAACUACUGAUCUGCUGGAGAGAAGAAGUAAUCCUGCAAAUUUUGCCACACCCCACCAGGAGGGCUGACCCCAGCUUGGAAGGUCACGGCAGCUAUGAGGGUUGCAACUACUAACAUGACGUUCCGGACAUCGCUAGGCUUGUCUCUGCCUUCGUCGUACUGGAAAUGUUUGUUCCAGCUCUUGCCUGUGCUUAGACGGCUAACCAUUUUCUUAAUCAAUGAAAACGAUACUGAAUUCUACCUCUUCAAUUAGUAUAUAAAGGAACCAAAACGUUGGAAUUGAAUGAGUCAGUCAACAUGGAGAUGAAGCUUUUUCCACACGGUAUACAAGUUUGGAACCAAAAAACAAGCAAAUGAAAUAAAAUAAUGAAAAGGACAAGACGGGUUCCCCUCAGAAUAAGUUUGGAUUUGAUGAGCACGAAUUCAAACCUCUACUCUUUAAAUUAACUAACGAACAUGACAGGGACUCAUUUCACAGUUGACAGCCCACGAAAUAUCAAGGUGCUUUCGUUUGUUUGGUAGCAAAUAUUAGAGUAAAUAAAGUCUAUACAUGAUGAUUCCCCUUAUCAAAAAAUCUUGGCAGAUCUUCCAAAUUAUCAAAGGGAAAAGAAGGAAAUGAAGCAGAAGGGAAUACAAAUUUGGAAAAAUGAUCAAGGAAAUGUUCCCAAGCAUGUUACAAUUAUUCAUUUCACGUUGGGUGUAACCCAUAUUUCCACAGGCAUGUGGUUGAUGGCGAGCAAGCUUGAUACAGUCGUUCCUCCAUCGCCUAUUCCUUCCUAAACUUAUUGAACAUCUGAAUCAAACACCGAAUUGCAAAAGGGACUGCAGCUGCAGCCAUGACAUAACGAAACUUCAAGAACUCACGUGGAGUAACAGCAAAAACCGCAGAAGCAUAAGUCACGAUCAUCGAGAUCGUGGCAACGAUGACUUCGAGAUGGAAGGGGAACCUGUAGGUGAGAGAGAUGAUGACAAGUACUGAGGCGGAAAGAGCGAGGGUGUUCGAGAUCAAGAAAACGUAGAAGGGUACUGUUUGAGAUGCAUAAAUGGCUCUACCUGCAUAAUGUCCAUUGCCAUUAUCUUGCCAUACCCCACCGGGAGGAUUGACCCCAGCUUGGAAGGUCACGGCCGCUAUGAGGGUGGCAACUAUCAGGAGAAUAUUUCGGACGUCGCUUGGCGAGUCUCUGCCUUCAUCAUAUUGGAAAUAUUUGAACCAGCUCCUGCCUUUGCUUCUAAGAGCCAUGCUUUUAUGCAAUCAAACUGAAGAAUACUGGAAUUUGCUCGUAUAAAUAGAAACCCCAAGAGUUGGAAUUGAAUGAGUUUUCAGUCAAUACGGCGGUCUUUGUUUACAGCCCAAGAAACAAUAAAAAAAGCAAGAUAAAUUUUCUAAGACAAGUUGGGGUUUGAUUAGUCUGAACUCUGAAUCCAAGCUAUAAAUCUCUAAAAAAUUUACAACGAUACGUGGCGUCAACUGGUCAUGGAUUUGGUAGCCAAGAACUAUCAAGGUACUUUCAUGGGUCAUGACUAUUUCCCAGCAGUAGGACAGAUUCUUUUUAACCUUUUGAAGAUACUAAAAAAUUGUUUUCCUCAAUUCUUGAUGUUCAUGCCGUGAUAAAUUCUGCUUUAAGAAACAUGUAAAACUUAAUAAAAGAAAUCAAACAGGAUGUUUCGUUUGGGAUGAGAAUUUUGUAGGAAACCAACAGGAAAACGAAGAGAAACGUAGACAAGUUUAUCACUGUUCUCUGCUUUUCAAUUUUCUGGGCUACCGCCAAAGAAUAAUCAACCUAUAUUGACCUUCUUUAAAUCAUUACACUUUAUCUUUUUAUAUUAUCCAUUCUCUUAUGCUUUUUUUUUUUUUGAAAAUUAGAAUCAUUUCAUUAUUAGAACAGGAUAAACCCUUUACAAAAAAAACAGAGUAUUGUGACUUAUGCUUAAUUGUGUAUACAUUUCAAGAUAUGGGAGUUUUCUUUAUUUCAGAGCAAACUAUAACAAUUGGCAUAACUUGGAGAGGGUUUUCAUAAUUUUCCCAAAAAAUUGUGGCCGAGACCUCGGAUCAACCCCCAAUUGCUAGGAAAGACCAACUUGUUGGAGGUCCUCUCCACCAAUUCCAAGCCUUGUUCACCCAAGUUGGAAGCCACCGUAAAGCGAAUGGUAGAACAAAGGCGACCGUGAGGAGGGCAUAUGCAACACCAUCUUUUUCUGUCAUACCGUAAAUUGAAAUCCAUAGCUAAACAUCAUGGAAAGCAUUGAAAUGAGAAGCUCCCGUUGGAAGGGAAACCCCCCUGUGAGAUAUAUAAUGAUGCUGAGUGAUGCAGUGAGGCCAAAGGAGUUCCAAAACAGAAACAGAUAAGAUGUUGCCUGAGUGCCUAAUAAUGCAGAGGCAGCUACUAACGCAGAUGUUACUGCCGGUCCAGCCCUUGUCACGUUACCAGAUGCUGGAUUUGAUUGUGAGUCAUAUUCUAGCAAGCCGGAUGGAGGGUUCAGACCCUCCUGGAAAGUGACGGAGGCAAUCAAUGCAGCCACCACCAGCAGUACAUUUCGAGUGUCGCUUGGUGAAUCUCUUUCCAGCUGAAACUUGAAAUAUUUGAACCAAUCCUGUAAUGGCUCUUCUGCAAGGUCAUGCCAGGAUUGUUUCUUUUUAGCAAUUACUGUGUCAUUUUGAAGGAUUUUCCUCAUUUGGAUAUCGUUGGGUUCUUCCAUGACUAUAUCUAGUAUAUCCAUUGCAGUCAGACCCUUUGAGUUUGGGGCAUUCACUUCUAGUAUUCCAUUGAAAACAUUGUUCUUACCAACAAGCAAUUCAAGACUCUACAACAUGUAUAAUUUUAUCAGUCAAUGCCAACUGUUUUGGAGGAAAAGAAAAUUUGCCCAAGAAAAAUAAUAAGAUACUAGAUCAGAAACAGAUGGAAAUUGUUGCAGAAACAGAAUCGUAAGAGGAUAAUAGAUUAGCUAAAACUGCGAAUUGUUACUUACACUGUAUUGUCUUCGAGCAGCUGCCAGAUGCAAGACAGAGUUCCCAUCACGAACCCUGAAAUUAUGACCGUUUUCUCUUUCAGAUUUUCCAGCCAGUUGACCAAGACGCUGAAAGCAGGGAAUUGGUUGUUUUUCACAGCAAGGUGAAGUGCAGUCUCCCCAUAGCUGGUCACAUCUGUUAUACAUUUCGGACAAGUCGAAAUCAAUUCAUUUAUGAUCUCAACUCUUCCCUUUGCAGCAGCAUAAUGAAGGGCUGUUCUUUGAUCCUGGCCUGGCAGACGAUAAAUCUGGAAUUCAGUCUUUAAAAGCUGUCUGACAAUAUCUAUAUGCCCUGUAACAACUGCUAUAUCCAAAGGCCGGUAACCAUCCUUUCUCAUUUCUCCUGCAAAUUCUGGUUUAUGUUUCAUAAUCUGAUGUACAAAGUCAAGCUGACCAGCCUUAACCGCAGCAUGUAAAGGUGUCUCUGUGGAACACGACAGGGCAACAUCAGUUAGAAUCAAUGGAUUUUUCUCAAGCAAAUCGUAUAGCACCUCAAUAUUUCCUGUCCGAGCAGCUUCAAACAAUCUCUCGUUGUCCAUUUGAGAAUUUGUGAAAAAAAAUUGUAGAACCUUAUCUUGUGGUGUUAGAAAUUAUUCAAAGUAUUUGCCAGGAAAUCUGAAGCAGCUUUAUAGGAAAACUCCAACCUGUUUCUUAGAGACCACAAAAGAAGAGGAGUUGGUCUACUGUCUGCAAAUAUUAUACAAAUUUUUUGUUACAAUCGUCAUCGGAAGUUUUCUGACUACAGAAUCAAGCGUUGAAUUUUUUUUUUUGGGGAUUUCUUACCAUAUGUCACAGUUUUCUUAUUUAAGGGAUGCAUUAGCUAGGAAUUAUGAAUAAAUUAAUUAAUGACUUGAUGAAUAUGAUGAUUCCUUCGUUUUGCUUUCAUGAAAUAACCAUUCUUUGUCCUUUACAAUUUUUUCUUGUGUAAUACUGAUACCUGCAGAUAAGGCAAGAAACUGAAUAGACUAUUGGGAAUUCAAGCCUUUUGUUACCAGAUGGUGAAUUUUUACUUGAUCUGGAAAUAUUUAGCCCCACUGACUUGAUCCCUUCUGCUAAAUUCUCUACAUUGUUCUACAGAAAUUAACUGCUUGCAGUUGCUAUUGAUGCCAGCAUUGGCGAUACUCACCAACAAGUCCAACGCAUGACCAGUCAAAAUACACUGAUUUCUCAGAUUUCUCAAGAUCUGCCUUCUUUCUUUGUUUCUUUUUAAAUUAACAGGAUACAGAAAACACAUGUAGGGAAGAACAACAGAAACAAUUAAAUGAAUGGAUAUGCACUUAUUUGAUAAAUGAACCAAAUAAACUUGUAAAUUUUUACAAAUGAAGAACAAGUUAUUAUGUUGGCAAGAUACAAUUACCAGAGGAAUGAAAUUCUAAAUUACUCAACUGAUUCAUGAUACAAGAGAAGCACAUUCUAAACUCUAUUACCGUCGCCUUGUAUCUGGAACAACUCCCCAUUUCUUCAGCAACCACAUGGUAAACCUUGCCAACUCCGCAAGAAAUAGAAUUCCCAUCAAAAUGACCACUAUGUAUAUUUCUCUCAUUUUGGUUGGACCCAUAUAGAUUACAGCUAUCACGUAAGUACCAGUCAUUGAAAGUAUGGCCAGCCGCAAGCCUGCCCUGAGAGGGAAUCCACUGGUAAGGAGAAAGAUCAUGCCGAAUGAUGCAAAGAAACCAAUUGCAUUGAAAACAGUGAACACAGCAAAGAUUUCAGGGUCGCUAGCCAUGACAGCCUCUCCAGGCAUUGUGGCUCUCUUCUGAACGGUGAUGGUCUGAGAUUUUCUGUUCUCUGCUGACCAAAAACCACUUGGAGGGCUCAGAAUCGCUUGUUAUGUGACUGUUGCUAUCAGGACUGCCACAACCAUUAGUGCAUUUUGAGUUUCAGUUGAUGAUUCCGUAACCUCUUUCAUCAGUUCCUUCCAUAGGUUCCAUGAACAACAAGAUUGCGAUGUUUGCGUGUUGAUAAAGCUUUCUGCUCCGGUUCGGACAUUAGCCGGUUCUGUUGUGAGGUCUCGGGCUUUCACAGCUCCAGCUUGCUGAAACAUCUGACAAAUCUGAAUAUCAUAACAAUCACCUCCACUUUGGAGAAAAAGAUCUAGGACAUCCUUUGGUGUAAUUCCGCUUGAGUUAAUGGCGUUUACGUUAAUCCCAGAAACAACUGCUUCUUGACCAAUUAACAGACCUAUAAUCUGCAACCGAGAAUAUAUAUUCAUAAUUUACAACUUCUGGAGAGAAUACCAAUAGCACAAUCAGUGAAAUCUAUUCAUUAUUAGAAUUUUACGUAGCCAAGGAAUAAACAGAAUGUAACUAGAAUAACGUGUGUUGGACUCCACCAUGACCAAAACCAUGAUUUAGUAGCACAUCUGCUUCAACUUAUACCUGACAUCUUUCCACAAUAAGAAUGCGGUCGAAGAAAUGUUGGUAUUUAUUAGAUUCCCGAUUAAGUAAUGAUCUGCAUAUUGUUCAUUAACACCUAGUUUGUCCUUUUCUUCAGCUUCAAACAAAUGGUUUCCCUUGGGAAAGUGCUUAAGGCACUCAGCCAGUAUCUAUGUGCUCUCAUCUUUGCUUAACUAUGCAGCUUGUUACAUUAUCUGACAGGACAAUGCCAUCUUUUUUAAAGGCAUUCAGGAUUCAUUAACAGUCUGAUUUCACAUGCUGCAGACUUGGUUUUUGAGCAGAUAGGAGACACCAAGAACAAAUGAACGAAUACAAUAAAUCAAAAAAGAAGAGAAACGAAUAAAUAAGAAUAGAUGAAGUAAAUAACUAUCAGGAAAUUGAGAAAAAAAAAAUUAGCAGGAAGAACUGCACUUGCCUCAUGUUGUCUGUUGAAGGUUGCCUGAUGUAAUAUGGUGUUCCCAUCCCUGUCUUUCCAAUUCAAAAUUUCCGUCAUAUCUAACUUUCGCAUCUCCUCAAUCAAAACCCUUGCAGCCUCAAUCUGGUUACUCUUCACAGCCGAAUGAAGGGCAGUUUCCCCGAAAGCAGUCAGUUCUUUAACAGACUCGGGGCAAGCCCAGACCAGUUCCUUAACAGCAUCAACUCUGCCUUUCAAAGCCGCGCAAUGAAGUGGAACCUUACCAUCUUUUCCCUUCAAAAGACAUAUGUCACAUCCAACUCUCGUAAGCUCUCUUAUAAUUUCCACGUGCCCUUUAGCCGAAGCGACAUGCAUGGGGCUAUAACCACUUUCACUUAGCUCCCUGGCGAAUGCUGGCUUUCUGCUCACAAUUUCUCUUGUGAUUUCUGUUUGUCCUGCCAUUGCUGAUAUGUGUAGAGGAUUAUCGACAGAGUUUAAGGCAACUCGAUCAAGCAGAAAUGGAUCUUCCCCGAGUAAUGAGUGAAAUGCAGAAAUAUCUCCAGAACGAGAUGCUUCGAACAAUCUUGGUUCCAUUUCUACUUGAUCUUGUUGCCCUUACCAAUGUGACAAAAUGUAGUGUGAGCUUUGUGUUUUCUUGGAAUAUUUUAUAGUAUAUUUAAGGUGAUAGAAUUCGUCACCGGGAAUGGAAUUUGAUCCUAUGGGCAAACUGGCAAGCAAUGCAAGCAAAAGACAAAGUACUAUCUGCUUUUUACUAUUAAUUUACCUUUGAAACCUGGAAAGCGGCAUAGAAGGUAACUUAGAAAAUCUGACAGAUUUGAAUGGUCUAAAUUCUUUAAAAUGAAGAAGAAUGCAUGGUGGAACUAAUUAAUUUUUGUUUGGGGGCCAAAAUGAAGAAGAAUUAAGGUUAAAAUUUUUUAAAACUAAUAUGUUGAAUUUAAUCAACAAUUUUUUUCAGAAUUGAGCUUGGAUGUUUUGAUUUAUAUUACUUUUGUUCAUGAGUUGAGGCAUUCAGAUUUAAUGACUCAAGUGUAAGAGAAUCAUUUGAAUGAUUUUCAUCUUUUUCUUUUAAAAAAUUUGUUAAUUAUUUUUAACUUACUCAUAUUUUAAUUAAACUUGAAAAAAAAAUUUAAUGCAGUCAAUAUUCAAUAUUCUUAUUUUAUUUCUAUUUAAAUUUAAAAUAUUAAAUAUAAAACUAUAAUGCAUAAAAUAUAAAUAAUUAAACACGAUAUACAGAAUUUCAAACAAUGAUUAAAUAUAUAAAUAGUUAAAUAAUAUAGAUAAAAAGAACAAAAUAAAAAAAAACUUUACCUCUUCUUAAUGUCACACAAUAGUGAUGAGUAGUAACGUUCUUUUUUAUCCAAGCUUACAAGCUAAUAAAUUUUUUUUGAAGAAAGAAAUAUGUUUCAAUGUUGAGUUCCACAUAAGAGAGUAAGAUAAGAAUAAAAGAGAAUAGAAAAAGAAAAAGAAAGAAAGAGAAAGAGUUAAAAGAGAAAUAUAAGAAUUAAGAUAAAAUUGAAUAAAGUUUGUAAAAUUAAUUUAUUAUUUGUUAUUAAUAUUAAUUAUUAAAUAAAACAAUUAUUUUGAAAAAAUCAUUUAAAAAUAUAUAAUAAAUAAAUAAAUUUAAAAAAUUAAAAUAUAUAUAAUAAAUAUAUAAUAAAUAAAUAAUUUUAAAAUUUUAAAAAAAUCACUCCCCACGCAGAUACAUUACCCUUGCCUCCUCCCGGUAGGCAAUGCUUUAAUUAGUUUAAGGAUUUUCUUUUAAUAAUAUAGUUUAUUAUUAUGUUUUGCUUUUGCCAAAAGAAAUGAAACCUAUUGUGAUUUACUACUAUAGUCAUACACGCAAUUUUUAACCUAUUACAUUAGUCUUUGUUUGAGUUUAACAUGGGUUCUUAUCUUUAUUUGUACAAUUUCGUGUUAGUCAUGUUUGGCUCAUUGGAAGUAUCAUUUCAUUCCAACAACAGUCUCACUAAAUAAUUGUUCUACUAUUUAAUUCAUUCUUUUAUCAAAAAAAAUUAUUCUUCAAAAUUUAUAAUUUUUUAAAUUUUUUAAUAAUUCAGAUAUUAAUUAUUUUACAGGAGUUAAAAUUCUUUUUACCAAAUCGUGAUUAAUUAAUGCUUCACAUUUAUGAUCUCUAUUACAAAUAAAACUUAAUUAUAGUAGUGGUGGUAUUGUUUAUGCGUCAUGCAUUAUUAGAGAAACUGAGAACAAUAAAAGUUGACAAGUAAAAAAAACUUGAGAUUGGAUAUAUGUGAUUGUCGAACGUGGUGAAAUGGGUUCUUAACCCAGCUAUGGUGACAUGGAGGAUGAGAAAACUUUACAUCCAAAUCACAAAUUGCUCAAGAAUUUAAGACAACGGCGGAUAAAACACACUUUCGCCCAGCUAAUGAUGAUGUUGAUGCCUUUCAAAAAAAAAAAAUGAUGAUGUUGAUCGACUUGCGAAAGAGGGGUCUCACGGCCUCAACAGUUGCUGUGGGUUAAUCAUGAACCGCCUCCCAAUCAAGGUAUUGGUUCUAGUUGUGUGAUUGUGAAAUUGUAAAUGUCUUUGUUCUUGAUUCUUCCAAGUGAAUUCCUUGAUCUGUUGGGAUAUUUUUUUUGUUAGUUUACAGCUUGAUUGUUUGGGUAACAACAUUUCUAGUGGGGUUGUGCUGAUCCCAGGUCAGGGAGGGUUUGCUGUUCACAAACAAUAUGUAUAGGUGAUUUUAAGAAGCAGAGAUAGGCCUUUUUGUAAUCCUGUUUUGCGUUCUGUAAUCAUCGAUAUUAUUAAUACAAACUAUUAUAUGUAUUAAAAAAAAUUAUCAUAUUAAAUAAUAAUUAUUUUUUAAAAAUAAAUAAUUUUGAUUCACAUUUAUAUUUUUUUCUCGUAAUGUAUGUAUCAUGAUCUUAAAUAAAAAUCGUGCAUUUCACGUCAACUAUAUACUAAAGUGAAACUAAUCUCAAUCUAUAUCUUAAAAAUUGAUAUAAACCACGUGAUAUAACUUAUAGACAGAUGGUGAUUGGUUCUCCUUUAAGAGAGGUUAAUUAAUCAGACCAAUUCUCCACUUACUUGAAAGUCGGCAAGGUUUUUCUUGUUUCAACGACAGAUUUUAUUAUAUGCUACAACUAGUCUUUAAUUUUGGUCAAAAAGACUUCUCUUGACAUAAAAGUUCUGAACAUUUUCUAAGCAAUUGAUUGUGUAUAGACUACUUUCCAAGCCCUCUACAUGUGCCAACAACAUGACCCCAUCUUACAAGAUUGCUGAACAAUAAGAGGUCCUCGCUCUGUGGAACACGUGUCCGCAAGGUUAAUUAAUAGGACCAAUUUGACUCGAGAAGCUUGGCCAUACAAAUGCUGGGGGCUGUAAGCAGAUGAAGCAAAUGCCUUUGCAUUCUAAACGGUUCUUUUUAUAUAACAUAGGAUUAGAAAUUCGAAAAUAUUAAAGAAGGGUUUAAAGCUUUACUUGUCUUACUGUUACUAUGCAAAGGUUCUUGUUAAUAAUAUAGGAUUAGAAAAUCAAAAUUUUUAAAGAAAGGUUUAAAGUGUUAUUGUUUUAAUGUAAAUAUGCAAAAAAUUUAUGAGUGAUAAAUCUCAAAAUUAUUUAUAUUUUAUAUUAACAAUUAAUUCAGUAACACUUAUUAAUAAAUGAUAAGAUUAUUUUAUUACAAUUUUAAUGUAUCCGUAUACUUGUUGGUAACUAAUAAGCUUGAAAGAUAUUCACAUUCCUAUCAAGAAAAAAUCGAGGAAUAGUUAUUUUAACAUUUAAUUAACUUUAUUUUUUAUAGUCUGUAUUUUUUAAAAUUUUUGAAUAAUUAAGAUAUUAACUAGGAGUAAAAAUUCCUCCUAAGGAGUAGUGAUUUAUUAAUGCUUCACAUUUACAAUCUUGAUUUUUGUUUUUUGAAAAGCUGAAUAUUCAUUCACAGGCAAACGAUUUGCACGGAAGUCGCAGGCUAACAAAAGCAGACCUGUCAACAAACAGCAAGAAAAAACUCUUGUUUAGGUCCAGCACAUACUGGGCAGCGGACCAGCCUAUACAAAAAAAUGACUCAACGCCUGCUUUAAUCAAGCUUCGACAAAAAUACAAGGCAUCAACUUCUUUCCACAAAAAAACGAAGCAAGCUAAAACAAUUAAACCCCAGAACAGUUAAUCCACAGCAGUUUCUAGGCUCUUUGAACCCCACCCUUAGCCAAUGUGUCUGCAUCUCCAUUGGCCGAACGUAGGUUAUGCCCAAUUUGCCAUUCAUCAAUCCUCGUCAACAUAUUGUGAAUAAAAAUAAUUUCUUUCCGCAAUCUCCAAGGGACUACAGACGGAUUCCUUACCCAUUUAACCACGUUUGAAGAGUCAGAUUCUAUCAUUAAUUUCACGGAGGACCUCCAUGUAGAAGCUGCAAAGAUAACCGCAGCCUCCUUCACUGCCAACAACUCUUCUAAGUUAGAAUCUAUCAUCCCCAUAGAUUUGGAGAAAAGAGCCAUAACGUCUCCACUCCAAUCUUUAAGGAUGCUGCCAAUUCCAGCAUGACCUGGGUUACCAUGGGAAGCACCAUCAGUGUUAAAUUUGUAGCUGCCCUCCCCUGGUUUCUCCCAACUCUGUAUUUCCCUUUAGUGACUGACUCUCCUCGGAUUAGUAGCAUUGCAGGGGUCUUUAAUCAGAUCAUCAACACCCAAAUUAACCUCAGGCCAUUUGGCAUGCGUCCACCAAGCAAUGCGCACUAUAACAAGCUCAAACACUUGGCUGCUGUCCCAACUCUUACCCUUGAACACCAUAUCGUUUCUUGUAAUCCAAAUAGACAAUGUAAUAGCAUAAAAAGCCAUCCUCCAGACCAACCCAUUUUCAAAACAGCUAGCAGCGUUAUUCCACCUUUGGAACCAAAUUUCAAGUUUAGAGUAACUCACCCAUUCAGUUUUCCAUAAAGCACACCACUUCUGCCAUACUCUCCAAGUUUCACUGCAAUUAAAAAACAGGUGCCCUACAGACUCAAUUUCAGAUCUGCAAAUUAAGCAGAUAGCAGCCUCACUCUUGAGAAUACCUCUGCUCACUAAUAACUCCUUAACAGCCAACCUCCCUUGAAGUACCUGCCAGCAGAAAAGCUCUACUUUAUGGGGUGCUAACCCAGCCUGUAUUUGCUUUCAAUAACCUGCGUAAUAUCUAUUAGAGGAAAGAACACUCCUACAAAGCCCUAGCCUCAACAAAAUCAAGCUGACUAGCCUUAACUGCAAGACGUAAAGGUGUCUGUGUGGAACACGACAGGGCAACAUCAGUUAGAAUCAAUGGCUUUUUCGCAAGUAAAUCGUUUAGCACCUUAAUAUUUCCUUUCCGAUAGCAGCUUCAAAUAAUCUUACAUUAUCCAUUUGAGAAUUUGUGAAUAAAAUUGCAGAACCUUAACUUGUGGUGUCAGAAAUUAUUCAAAGCAUUUGUCAGGAAACCUGACGCUGCUUCUUAGAAAUACUACAACCCGUUUCUUAGAGGCCACGAAAGACGAGGAGUAGGUCUGCUGUCUGCAAAUAUUAUACAAAUUUUAUAUUACAAUCUCCUUUCCUUUGAGUCUCUUUUAAACUAUGGUAAAUUAGAUAUCCAAUCUUGAAUAUUUGGUAUAAUCAUCAAAGAAAAUUAGAGCUCAUCAAGUCAGAUAACACUUUCUUGCUAAAGCAAUUUUCUUUGGUUCAAAGCACAUUCUGCUCACAUAAUUUUUUAUCGCUAAAACAAAGUCCAUUAUAUUAAUUAAGUGACUGUACGAACCCUCAUAAUUCAAAUAAUUGAAUUCGUACAAAAAAAAAAUUGGAAACCCUCGUAGGAUGCGGUUCAUUCUGUAUAUAUCAUCUUCUGAAUGUGAGCCAUUGAUAGUGCCAUCUCUGGUUAGCCUUGAUUUUCUGCUUCCUUUUUUUUCUUUAUAAAUUGCCUGUUUUUCCCUCUUCCCCCACUUAAUUUUUCUUCUAUCUCAACAUAGUCCUUCCAAUCUAGCUCACAUAGAAAGUUUGGGAACCAUCCCAUAAUUUCUUACAACAUGUCACGGUUUAAUUUUUUUAAAAAUUGGAGUUUAUUAGCCAGUAACCGGUAUACCAUUGAUAGUCUCGAACUGGAGCUGCCGGAGACUCUCAUUGGCAUGAAAUGAAAACCGGCUUGGCAAAAAAGGCAUGAACAAAAAGGUUCACCAAUCCUUACAUAAACCAGCAGUAUGCCCUCAUCAAUUAGUAACGUCACAAAAUAGUCUCGAUCCUGCUUAAGAUAAAAAACAAACAGCAGGAAACAAGGAGGCUAUACAACAAAGACAUAAUUUCUAAAAAUCAACCUCAAACAGUGACAGCAAUACCCUAAGACCACGAAACAAAAAUGAUCCAAAAACAGAGUAGAGACUUGAAGAUCCCUUGAAGCCCUUGAUCAUCAAAGCCAAGAUCCAAUCGGAGUCGAAAAAUUGGACAGCACAUUGACAGAUCCGAGCGAAGAAGGAUCAACAUAAUUAACUCGAAACACACCACAGGCAAAGGAACCAAGACACGGUCGUGUCUACCUGGAGAACAUGACCUGCAACCGGCACAAAAAGGAAGGCCAGCAACUCCCACACGAUCAGCAAGCCUCAAAUGCAGAAGAAAGCUGCUUCACCUUGAAGACAUAAUGAAUAUGAUGAUUCGCUCGUUGUGCUUUCAUGCUAUGUCCAUUCUUUGUCCUUUUCAGUUUUUUCUUGUGUAAUACUGAUACCUGGCCCUGCAGAUAAGGCAAGAAACUGAAAAGAAAAGGAAUUCUAGCCUUUGUUGUCAGGUGCUGAAAUUCUAUUUGGUCUAAAAAUAUUUAGCCCCACUGACCUUAUCCCUUCUACUAAAUUCUCUAUAUUGUUCUACAGAAAUUAACUGCUUGCAGCAGCUAUUGAAGCCAGCAUUGGCUUUACUCACCAACAAGUCCAUGCAUGACUAGUCAAUUUAUCAAAAUAGACUGAUUUCUUAGAUUCUCAUGAUCUCUCUUCUUUCUUUGUUUCGUUUUAAAUUAACAGGACAGAUAAAAUUCCUGUAAUAGGGAAGAGCGCCACAGAAACUAUUAAAUGAAUGGAUAUGCAGCUGAUAAAUAAACCAAAUAAACUUUUAAUUUUUUUUUAUUGUGAAUGAGAGAAGCAAAUGGAAGGAGAUUGGUUCAUCCGAGGUACAUUAAUAGCUGGUAAGAAGGUGGUGAGAAAAGGGCAAAAAGGAAUUCUGCAAACUGUCAGUAGGGCGGAAGAACCUGAUGUGGGAGAUCCUAUUUUAGCGAAUGAGCAAAUGAGAGUUGAGAAGGUGGGCUAGAUUGAAAUGAAAAUAGAAAGGAGAAUAUAGGGCCAGGUAAGGAAUUAGGGCUCGAAGCUCGUGAGCAAAGAGGACGAGGGAGAGGGGCCGGGUGAUAGAUGAGCCCGAGGAGGAGAUUGGAGUAGGGCUCAGAAUUGCUUCGUAUAGGACUUUGUAAUCUUUAAUACACACAUUUUAUUUGUUUGAAAUAGGCAAAGCACACAUUCUGUUUAUUUGGUACAUAACAAAUCGCACACUUUAUUUACUAAUUAUACAAACUUAAUGAAACUCCCAAGUACUAGUAUUAAUUUUGGACACAUACCCUGUGUCACAUCCUAUAACAUAUAUAAACAGCAUGAGUUCUAAGUUGUUCGGGCUCCAACUUCUAGGAAUUUGCCUGUGUCUGCCUACGUUCAUUGUUUUCCUCCAUCCGCCUAAGGUUGUGCUUGCAAGGUCUGGUCUUUCGGGGGAUCUGCUAUCUUGUUUCUAGGCCUGGAAAAUGCCUGGAUCAAACAUGGAGGAUCAGGUUCCCUGUUUUUCAACUUAACCAAUAGCUGGAUCAAACACCGCAUAGCUAAAGGCACUACUGCUGUAAUCAGGGCGAGUUGAAACGUUUCUUCAUUCGGGGUAACAGCAAAGAUCGCAGAUCCAUAAGUUAUAAUCAUUGAAACACCAGCAACCGUUACUUCAAACUUGAACGGAAAAUUAUGCGUGAGAGACAUAAUAACAAGUACCGCUGCAGAAAAGGCUAGGGUGUUGGAAGUCAAGAAAACGUAGUAGACAGAUGAUUCAGAUUCACAGAUAGCAGUGCCUGCUAUAUGGCCCUCAUUGGUUUCCUGCCAUACACCGCCAGGGGGGUUAACCCCAUCUUGGAAGGUCACGGUAGCUAUUAGGGUGGCUACUACCAAGAGAGCGUUACGGGCGUCAGCUCUAUUCUUCUCCUUAUCCUCCUCUUUUGCACCUUUCUUGUACUGAAAAUAACGGCACUAGUCCUGGCCAUUUUUUUUCAAGAAAAAUGUGAGAAAAUGAUUUUGUGAUAAGGUGAUUUCAAAUAUAACCGACCAUAUAAAGUUAUCUGUUUCUACCCAAAAAUAAACAUGAGUAGACCAAAAUGCCCUUAAAAACAUCAUUUCAAAGAAAUGCUCAGCUGUUUGAGCUAUCUGCCUCUCGCCAGAGAAAAAAUGAAAAACAUUAAAAAUAAAUGCGCGCAGCUAUUUAGGCUCGAUCAUCUUUCUCUGUCUCAACUCUGGUAAGUCUUUGUUGAGCACCAUCGUUGUCAGCUCUCUCAGAUCUCUGAACUGUAUGAGCUCUGUCAACUCUCUGUUGAGCACUAUUGUCAUUGGGCUGUGGUCUAUCUCUCGACAUUUGGCCACAUUGUCAUAGAUUAACACACCCUAUAGCAGAGAUGACAUCAAGGUACCUGUUAUUGGGUUUAUUUCUGCAACACACUUAAAUUUCUGAAACAUUUGGUGUAAAUAAUAAGAUGGAUAAGAAACAUUGCCCAGAGUUGUUACACGCCAUGCAUCUAUAACAUGAGUGAAGAGUUAUUUUAGCGUGUCACGGCUGUUACUGGAGUGUUGUCGGCUAACUAGUUAUUUGGGUUGUUAGCGUGUCACGGCUAUUCUUGGGGUGUGGUGAGUGAACUAAAUGUAUGGGUUUUUGGCGUGUCAUGGCUGUUCUUGGAGUGUCGUGGGUUAAUUGGUUUUUGGGAUUUUUAACGUGUCACGGAUGUUGGUGUAACCAGUCAGUAAUUACAGUGAUUGGCGUGUCACGAUAAUGAUGCAUGGUGUGUCACGACAGUGAUGCAUGGCGUGUAAUGAUACUGAUGCAUGACGCGUCACGAUAUUUGACUUGAUAUGCAUGACGUGUUACAACAUUUUACGUUAUAUGCAUGGCGUGUAACAACACGACUAACAAAUUUUUGAUCACGGCAUGUAUUGUGUAAAAUGAUUGACGAUAUUUUUUUUUCAAAAUUUCAGUGGAGUUCCAAUUGUGCGACUUGUGAUAAGACACGGUAGUUAGUAGGUGGAUGGCAUUUACAAGGGUGGUGAGUCACGAAUGAGGCGGGUUAGGAGUGAUUUGUCGUUUGUAGGCUUGAUGAAGCUGGUUGAAGAUGUUGUUAGGGUCAACUCAGAAAUUGACGAGAUUGAGUUACAUGCAUUGAUCAGUACACCCGAAGAGCUAUUACGGCCAAUUAUCAAGGACGAUGAGGAUGUUGCAUUAAUUUUGCUAGAACAGAGGAAUGUUCCGGCUGUGUAUGUCAGCAUUAGGGGACGCCAAAUAAAUGUUAUGUCACAUGGAGAAGUUGGACAACAUGGUAAUCAACUCAAUCAAAAUGAGAUUUACAAUGCUUCACAUAUACCACAACAUUCGGUCUGUAACCCACAACAAUGGCAAUUGAGGUAUGCACAAGAGUUUGUGCAACCCGGUAGACAGACGACAUUCACAGACAGUUGGCUACACAAUUUCGAUCAGGAUGUGCAUCAAACCAAUUUCUUGCUUCUCUUGAACAAAUGCAACGAUCGGGUGAAAUUGUAGAGUGUGUAAUGCCAUUGUCAAAUGAGAAUAUGACAGUUGAGGACAACAAUGUGAGGUUGGAGGGUGACACUGCGACGCUGGAGUAUAAUACUACAUUUGAUGAGGGAAAUGAGGAUUUGUUCGCUGCCGGUGAAGAUAGAUUUGAUCACACUUCAAAUGAUGGGCUUGAACAAUCACAAGAUGACAGUUCAGACGAUGAUUGCCUUUAUGACAGUGACAUUCCAAUUUGCAAUAAUGUUGAAGGUGAAACAGAACCUGUUGGAGGUGUUGAUGUAUGAGAUGUUCAGUGUGAUGACCCCAUAUACAAUAACCCCAUCGCUGGUGAGAACGGGAUUCGUUCCCUUGAUAUAUUGCUCGAUGACAGUGAUCAUGAAAGGAAAAAUGCAGGGAUAUCUCGUACGUGGGUAAUUGCAAGUGCAGAAAGGUUAUUCUUCCAAAUAAUUACCACUGAAGAGUCGACAUGUGCCGAAGAUCCCUUAUACAAAGGAAGAAUGUUUUCAUCGAAGGUCGAGUUGAAACGAGCUUUAAACAUGUUGGUUAUAAAAGAGAAGUUUGCGAUAAGAGUAAAAAGGUCAUGUAAAGCUCGUUAUGAGGUUAGUUGCAAGGACAAGGCAUGCAAGUUCAGUGUUUGUGCAACGAAGUUACCUGAUAGAGGAGAAUAUUGGAAAGUUCGGACAUUCCAUAAAAUACACACUUGUAUCGUUGAUGAUUUGCAAGGGCAGUUUCCAACUACGAGUGCGAAGAUGAUUGGUAAACUUAUGUCACACAAGAUUCGGGCUAAUGGAGUAGCAUUGAGACCUAAGGACAUAAUUUGUGAGAUGAAGGUUUAGUGGGGAUUGGAAUGCUUGUAUAGUAAGACUUGGCCAGCGGAGGAGUAUGCGAAGAGGCUUCUUUUCGGUCCAUCGGAGGAGUCAUUUCAACUACUACCAUCGUAUUUUUAUAUGUUGGAACAAGAAAAUCCUAGCAUAAUGACUGCAGUGGCUAAUGAUGAGGAAGAGAGAUUCAAAUAUUGUUUCUGGUCAUACGGGGCUUGUAUUCGGGGGUUUAGGGAUGUAAUGCGUCUUACGGUUGCAAUUGAUGCGACACAUCUAAAAGCCAGGUUUAAGGGUGUUCUGUUUGUCGUUGUAUGCAAAGAUGCGAACGAGUGCGUAUAUCCAGUUGCGUUUGGCAUCGGCCAUGUUGAGGAUGAAAACUCGUGGAUGUGGUUUCUUAGCAAGCUACGUGAUGCGGUUGGUUGUCCUGAAAACACUAUGUUUAUUUCUAACCAGCAUCUCGGCAUUAAGAAAGUAAUCCAAAAUGCAUACCCAGAAGUGCACCAUGGUUUAUGCGGUUACCACUUGUAAAAAAACUUUAAAAACAAGUUCAAGCGCGACGAUGUUUAUAUGCUUUUCACCCUUGCUCGAGAUUGCUAUAAGGUGGCCGAUUUCAACAGACAUAUGAACCAGAUAUAGCAGAUUUAUUUGGGAGCCCACGCGAACUUUAUGAGAAUAGAGCCUGAGAAAUGGGCAUGUGCAUGUUCACCUGCAAAGCGAUACCAAAUGAUGACAUCCAACAUUACGAAAUGUGUUAACUCAUGCUUAAAGCAUGCAAGGCAAAUGCCGAUCACUGUUUUGAUCGAGUUCAUCAGAGACAUGUUUCAGAAUUGGUUCCAUGAACGGUACGAGAAAGCCGUCAAGGUGACCACGCCUCUCAGCCCUUGGGUUGCCAGGCAGUUGAGUAAAAGGUUCAAUGAUGCACAUCGCUUUCUAGUUAAUCCUAUCAAUCGAGCGGAGUUCGAAGUUAAAGAUGGGAAGAUGGACGGACUUGUAAACCUGUCCAGGAAGAUGUGUUCAUGUUGUGAGUUCCAAACAGAUUUACUACCAUGCAGCCAUGCCAUUGUAGCAAUAACAGAAUAUCUUUAUUUUUUAUUUGAACUGUAAUUGACAUAACAUUUACAUUAUGCUUGAAGAUUGAGUUUUUAGUGUUUUUCAGUAAAUGCAAUCGUGAAGUCAUUGAAUUCUGCGCUGACUGCUACAAGAUAACCGUUUUUGUGGAAGGUUAUUCAGGAUCCAUUAGGUUGGUAGGGCAUCCUAGUGAGUGGGACAUCGCCCCUCAUGUGAAACAAAUUAUCGUCUUGCCCCCACCUUGGCGAGGCCAAGUAGGAAGACUUAGGAAGAGAAAGAUUCCAUCAGCUGGUGAAGGUAGUCGAACACAGAGAUGUUCACAAUGCAAGAGGUACAAGCAUAACAGACAGAACUACUCAUCCCCAUUUGCAGUUCCAUCCAUAAAUCUGGCACCAUCUCCAAGUCAAUCGACGACUCCACGACUGCGCCGACCCAAAGCAUGUUCAAGUUGCAGACAAACCGGUCACAUAUGCAACAACUGUCCAAUACAAAAGACAAUGUCCAAAAAUGUGCCUGAUUUUGAUAUGCAUGUCAUGUCACAGAAUUUUACUUGUUAUGCAUGGCCUGUGAUAGCAUUUUACUUGAUAUGCAUGGUGUGUGACAGCAUUUUACUUGAUAUGCAUGGUGUGUUAUAACGUUUAACUUGUUAUACAUAGCGUGUUAGCACAAUUUACUUGUUAUGCAUGACGUGUCAUUUCAUUUUUCUUGUUAUGCAUGACGUGUCACAAUAUUUUAUUUGAUAUGCACGGCGUGUCACAACAUUUUACUUGUUAUGCAUGGCGUGUCUCACAUUUAUUCCUUAUUUAUUUCUUCUGUAUACCUUGUUGCACAUUAUGGCUUAACUCAUUGGUGCAUCUGUGCCAUGUUUUGCAGAUCCAACACAUACAGUAUGAGGAUCUUAACAUUUUGUCUGCUCGAUCAUUCUAUGAGGCACUUUUAGUUACGGACUUUGUUGCCAAACAUUUCAAGCAGAUAAGCUUGUCAAGGCCUCUGUCUGAUCAAGAUCGCGUUAAAGUACAUUCUUACAUUGUUUGUAAAAAUGUUUCCGAUUACAAUCUCCAUCAGACAGGAGCCACAUAUUUGUUUAUCUGCCUGAAAUGUUUGGCAACAAAGUCUGUAACUAAAAGUGCCUCAUAAAAUGACCGAGUAGAUAAAAUGUCAAGAUCCUCAUACUGUAUGCAUUGGAUCUGCAAAACAUGGCACAGAUGCACCAAUGAGUUAAGCCAUAAUGUGCAACAAGGUAUACAGAAGAAAUAAAUAAGGAAUAAAUGUGAGACAUGCCAUGCAUAACAAGUAAAAUGUUGUGACACGCCGUGCAUAUCAAAUAAAAUAUUAUGACACGCCAUGCAUAACAAGAAAAAUGAAAUGACACGUCAUGCAUAACAAGUAAAUUGUGCUGACACGCUAUGUAUAACAAGUUAAACGUUGUCACGCACCAUGCAUAUCAAGUAAAAUGCUGUCACACACCAUGCAUAUAAAGUAAAAUGCUGUCAAAGGCUAUGCAUAACAAGUAAAAUUCUGUGACAUGACAUGCAUAUCAAGUAAAAUGUUAUCACAAGCCAUGUAUAACAAGUAAAAUUCUGUGACAUGACAUGCAUAUCAAGUAAAAUGCAGUCACACGUCAUGCAUAUCAAGUAAAAUGCUAUCACACGCUAUGCAUAUCAAGUAAAAUGCUGUCACACGCUAAUAACUAACUAUAAUAACAAUAGCGUCACACGUUAAACACCCAAAACCCCUAAAACCACUACGACUUAACCACAACAACCAUCAAACCAGCAAGAAAACAUAGUCUAAACAUUUGCAAAACAAAACAAAAAACCCGAACAUAUCAAAUAAACCCAGGAAAAAAUCAAAAAAUUAACGAACACAAGAAUGUUACGAAUUUGAGACUCACUGACCUCUUCAUUCAUGGCCGACAUUUUUGCUGCUAUUGUGGUUUCGUUCCUCUUGCAAAGAGCCUUCUCGAACACUCUGGUACCGACGGGAAUGAGAAAUGAAUCACACAGAUGUUACAAAUUUUGUGUAAUAACUGUUUAAAAUGAAAAAUGACCUUAUAAUAUUCUUAUUUAUUCUGAAAAAGGGGAAUUAAUUCAGUGAAAGUCCAAAGGAUUACCACAUUUACUGCCCGUUUUUUUUCCUCUCUCUAUUUCAAACCAUGACUUGUCAAUUGCUCAAGCACUGCUGUGUCACACACUCUAAACCAUGACCAUGGUGUGUUAGCUUUUCAGGCAAUGUCGUGUCACACACUCUAAACAUGACCAUGGCGUGUCACCAACUCUGAACUCUGGCUUGUCACAGAUUCCAUCCAUGGUGUGUCACUAACUCUUAACUCUAGAGUCUCACAGAUUCAAUCCAUGGCGUCUCACCAACUCUGAAAGCUGGCAUGUCACAGAUUCCUUCAAUGCCGUGUCACCAACUCUUAAUUUGGAGUGUCACAGAUUCCCUCCAUGGCAUCUCACCAACUCUAAACGCUGCCAUGUCACACAUUCUCACCAUGGCAUGUCACCAACUCUAAACUCUGGCGUAUCACAGAUUCCCUCUAUGGCGUCUCACCAACUCUGAGCGGUGCAGUGUCACAUAUUCCCAACAUGACGUUUCACAAACUCUAAACCCUGCCCUGCGACAACCAUCUAACAUAUGGCCUGCUAUAGCAGGACCAUUUCCUACUUUGGAUUCACAUCUUUCUCUUUUUAAUUCACCACCGUAUCAAGGAUUUCUAGUUUCAUAUCAUUAGCCAAGCUUUCCAUUCAUGACAACCGGUUCCUCGUUCGAUUUAAUAUCUCUCUUCUCCUAUUAUCUGAAUGUCAUGUCUCAAAUCUCUGAAAACCCAUCUCAUGCAACAUUAUUUUGUUUUGCACAACCUUCGAAAAAAUUUUUGGGUAUUUUGCACAACCAAUCUUUGCAUAUUUUUUUUCUCCCAUUUUUCGCCUGUUUGAGAGUGUACGCUAACGAAGAAGACUCAUUAAGGGCAUUUUUGUCCCAAAAUCUUUUUUGGUGGUUAAAAACUGUUAAAAGUAGCCCGACGGUUAUUUACAAAAACACGUUAUUUAUAAGGGCUAAAAAACAAAUUCCCUUUUUUUUCUCUUUGGUUUUGAACUACAAACAGAAUUCAAUAAUUGAUGAAGCUUUUUGUUUAUUGAGAUAUGAAGAAAAUCAAAGGAAGAAAAACGAAGUAGAAGAUGGAUUUCUCCAGAAAAGCUUGGGGUUUGGGUGAAGCUUAAUUCAGCUUUCAUAGUCACCCGAACCAGCAAUUUGCCAUGACAGUUCGCAACAGUAUCAAUCACGUGACAAACAUAAAGAAAAUUCACUGUUUCUUUUUCUCUAUUUGCAUGAUUAUGUUUGGACAAAAUUUUGAAACCUAUAAAAGGAUUCCAUCACUCAAACAUAAAAUGAUGGCUCAAAGUUAACAGUGCGUUCCCUAUACAAAAAGGAUUAAUCUUCCCAACUUUAAAAAACUACUAGGAUUACACUAUAACCAUGAUCCAAACAUCCUAAAUUACAAAAGCUGAACAAGCAAUCCACUAAAAUCUAGAUAAUAUUCAGCUCUUGAACUGCAACUAGGCCUUCAAACGCCAUUAAAUCAGCCACCCUAAUUCCACCAUUCCUUCUGUAAGAUGUGAUGAAUACUUCUCCAUGCUCAACUUUCGUAAACAUAUAUAAAUAGCUUGAGUUCUAAAUUGUUCAGGCUCCCAGCUUCUAGGUGUUGGGAGUGUUUGCCAUCCACUUAAGCUUGUGCUUGCUAGGUUUGGUCUUUCUGGGGCUCUUCUCUCUUGUCCCUAGUUUUCAACUUAACCAAUAGCUGGAUCAAGCACCGCAUUAUUAAAGGCGCAGCAAUCAAGGCGAACUGAACGUUUCUACAUCCGGAGUAACAGCAAUGACCGCAGAUCCGUAAGUUGUAAUUAUUAAAAUGCUAGCAACCCUUACUUUUAACUCAAAAGGAAAUUUAUGUGUGAGUGACAUAAUGACAAGCAUGGCUGCAGAAACGGCUAGGGUGUUUGAUGUCAAGAAAAUGUAAUAGGCCACUGUUUCAUAUGCAUAGACAGAUGAUAGCAAUGCUUGUUGUAUUGUCCUCCUUGGUUUCUUGCCAUACACCGCCAAAGGGGUUAACCCCAGCUUGGAAGGUCAUGGCAGCUAUUAGGGUGGCAACUACCAAGAGAGCGUUGUGGGUGUCGGCUCUAUUCUUCUCCUUAUCCUUCUUUUUGAACUUUCCUUGUACUGAAAAUAACGACACUAGUCCCUAAAAGUAAUCCCAACCAUUGUUUUCUCUUUGGUUAUGACCUACAAACAGAAUUCAAGAAUUGAUGAAGCUCUAUGGGGAUUGAAGAAAAAAAAGGUAGUAGAUGGAUUUCUCCAGAAAAGCUUUGGGUUUGGGUGAGUCUUGAUUCAGCUUUUAUAGCAAGCAAUUUACCAUAACAGUUGGCAACAAUUUCAAUCUUGUGACAAACGUGAAGUCAGAAGCGGAGGGAGGUAGGGCCCCAGGGGCGGCCUAAUAAGUUCAAAGGUCUAAAGUAAAAUAUUCAAAUGAGGCUUUUUUUAUUGAAAUUAAAAAAAUUAUUAAAAUUUUAUCCUUCUAACUUUUGGAGAUGUAAAAUUUUUAAUUAAACUUUUAUAAUCAAGUUAUUCUAAUAUAUCUUUUUCAAUUGAUAAUAUAGUCAAUCCAAUCUUUCUUGAGACAUUGUUGAUCUUAAAUAAGAUUUUAUUAAUUUUAGUUUUGAAAAAUUUCUCCUGAAGCAUCAUUUACUCGAAUUAUUAACAUUAUUUUAAAAAUAUUGAACUAUUAUAAUUAUCUUAUAUUUUUUAAAUGGCUAAUAUAAAAUCAACAAUCAAAAUUUUUAAUUCAAAUAAAUCAACUAUAACAUAAAAUAAAAUAAUAUAACAAUAUAAUAUAAAUCUAAAUUAAAGUAAAAAAAUCUGUAAAUAUUAGAACAAUAGUACCUAAUUAUUGAAUGCUUAUUCCAAAUCGUAAAUGAGUUUCACAACUUUAUGAAGAUAAUAAAAGAACGGACUUCUAGUAUAUUUUUUGGAGAAAAAUUGAAGUUAAAGGAAGAAAGAACAAAUGAGAAAGGAAGAAAGAACAAAUGAGAAAGGAAGAUUUUAAAAAUAGAUAUUAUACAUUGAAAAAAAUAAUUAGUUUUAUAUAUAGAAAAAAAAUAACUGUUGGAAAUCAUUAAAUAUAUUGAUUGGAAAUAACGGAAAUAAGUGCAUGUUUGGCCUAAAUUUUUUUUAGCUUAUCUACCUCUAAAAGUAAAAGUCAGGCCAAACAUGAUUUUUUGAUAAGCUCUUAAAAAAAUAAUUUUUUUUAAAAAUAAAAUUUUUAAAAAAAGACCUUAAAAAAAAGCUCCAAUGAGGAGCUUUUUCUUCUUUUCUUUUAAAAAUAUAAGAGAAUUUUUAUUUUUGUUCCAAAAAUAUCCUCAUUUAUUAAAAAUAAUUACAAUAUUAUCCUCUAAAAAAAAGAAAUACAUUCUAUGAUAAUUUUAACAAAAAUUAUAACUUAUAAAAGGAAAUUUACUAAACAACUUUAGCUUAAUUUUAAAAACUAUUAUUUUUCAUAAGAGCUUCAUAAUAACUUUUAAGUUUGAAAAAAGCCAAGCUAAACAGACUCUAAAUAAGAAAAAAUAUAGCUGUUGGAAAUGAUUAAAUGCAUGUAACUGUUAGUUUAUUGAAAAUAAAAGAAUAUAGUUGAGAAUUAAUAAUAUUCUAAAAAUAAAAAAAUAAUAGAAAAUUAAGAUUUAUUAAGCAUAUAAUUAAAAAAAUAAAAGAACAAAUAAUUUGAUGAAUUAUUUUUUAUUUUUUUAUUUUUUUAUUUAAUUAAUUAUGUUAUAAUUAUUAUAAAAUUAUAAUUUGUUUUUAAAAUUGAAGCCUCUCCAAAUUGAGGCCUAAAGCCCUUGCUUGGGUGGCUUCACCCUAGGGCAGACCCUGUAGGGCCCCCGUGCCCCCCUACCCCCUUUCUAAAUUUAAAAAAUUUAUAAAUAUUUUAAAAAUUUUAAACGCUUAUAUUAAUUUUUGAAAUAAGCAAUUUCUUAAAAAUAUAAAUACUAUUAACAGAAAUUAAAAAAAGAUUACCAUUUUAUUUUUUGUUAAUUUAAAAAAUUAUUAUUAUAUUCUAAAAAUUAAAUAAAAGAAAGGAUAAAAGCAUCGAUCGAGGCUCCCUAAGGGAGAAUCAAGGUCCCUAAGGGAGCUUCGGUGCUCCCCAUCUUGAGAGGUUUUUUUUUUUUAAUUAAUAAAAAAAUAAUAAAAUUAUAUAAAGUAAUUUUUAAAAUUAAUUAAGAGUAAAAUUUUCUUUUUACUCUUAUUACGUCAGCAAGUUGACGAAAAUACUAACGGUUAACUAACGGUUGGACUUAUGUGUCAAAUAGAAAAUAUUUUUUUGCUGAGUGUCCAUUUUGAAAACUAAUAGAUUUUCAUGUAAUUUCGAUUAAAACUUAGGUGGAUAAAGAUAUUUUAUCUAAUAUUUUUUAUUUUGUUUUAAAUAUUUAUAAUUUUAAAUUUAAAAAAUUUAAAAAUACUAGCAAUGACUCAAAGCAUCGAAGAAAGCAAAAAAGAAUUUUAUUCAUUGUGCACUGAAAUUAGGGUUAUCAAUAGAUAGGAUAACUGCUAAUUUUGAGAUACUUGAAUCUCAAUUUUAUAAGAAAUAAAGUAUUUGAAUCUUAUUAAUUACCCAAGUAUUUUUAAAAAUUACUACCUUAACCCUAACACUAAUACAUCACACUUAUCUUAUAAAUAUCCUAAGGGAUUUUUUUUAAACCCUUAUAAAUAACGUGUUUUUGUAAAUAACCGCCAGGAUACUUUUAACUAUUUUUAGCCAUCAAAAAAGAUUUUGGGAUAAAAAUGCCCUUAAUGAGCCGUCUUCGUUAGCGUACACUCUCAAACAGGCGAAAAAUGGGAGAAAAAAAAAUAAAUAUGCAAAGAUUGGUUGUGCAAAAUACCCAAAUUUUGUUUUCGAAGGUUGUGCAAAACAAAAUAAUGUUGCAUGAGAUGGGUUUUCAAAAAUUAGGGACAUGGUAUUCAGAUAAUAGGAGAAGAGAGAUAUUAAAUCGAACGAGGAACAGGUCGUCAUGAAUGGAAAGCUUGGCUAAUGAUGUGAAACCAGAAAUCCUUGAUACGGUGGUGAAUUGAAAGGAGAAAGAUGUGAAUCCAAAGCAGGAAAUGGCCCCGCUAUAGCAGGCCAUAUGUUAGAUGGUUAUCGCAGGGCAGGGUUUAGAGUUUGUGAAACGUCAUGUUGAGAAUGUGUGAGACGGCACCGCUCAGAGUUGGUGAGACGCCAUGGAGGGAAUCUGUAAGACGCCAAAGUUAAGAGUUGGUGACACGCCAUGGUGGGAAUGUGUGACACGGCAACGUUGAGAGUUGGUGAGACGCCAUGGAGGGAAUCUGUGACACGCCAAAUUAAGAGUUGGUGACACGACACGGAGGGAAUCUGUGACACGCCAGCGUUCAGGGUUGGUGAGACUCCAUGGAUUGAAUCUGUUAGACGUUAGAGUUCAGAGUUGGUGACACGCCAUGGUUUGAAAUAGAGAGAGAAAAAAAAACAGACAGUUAACGUGGUAAUCCUUUGGACUUUCACUGUAUCAAUUUCCCUUUUUCAGAAUAAAGAAUGUCAUUUUUCAUUUUAAAUAGUUAUUAUUUAGAAUUCGUAACGUUUGUGUGAUUCAUUUCUCAUUCCCACCGGUACCGAAGUGUUCGAGAAGGCUCUUUGCAAGCGGAACGAAACCACAGCACCAGCAAAAAUGUCGACCAUGAAUGAAGAGGUUAGUGGGUCUCAAAUUCGUAAUAUUCCUGUGUUUGUUAAUUUUUUGGUUUUUUUCUGGGUCUGUUUGAUAUGUUUGAGUUUUUGGUUUUGUUUUGCAAAUGUUUAGACUGUGUUUUCUUACUGGUUUGAUGGUUGUUGUGGUUAAGCUGCAGUGGUUUUAGCGGUUUUGGGUGUUUACCGUGUGACGCCAUUGUUAUUAUAGUUAGUUAUUAGCGUGUGACAGCAUUUUACUUGAUAUGCAUAGUGUGUGACAGCAUUUUACUUGAUAUGCAUGUCGUGUCACAAAAUUUAACUUAUUAUGCAUGGCGUUUGACAGUAUUUUACUUGAUAUGCAUGUCGUGUCAUAGAAUUUUACUUGAUAUGCAUCUCGUGUCAUAGAAUUUUACUUGUUAUGCAUGACGUUUGACAACAUUUUACUUGUUAUGCAUGGCGUUUGACAGCAUUUUACUUGAUAUACAUGACGUGUCAUAACCUUUAACUUGAUAUGCAUGGCAUGUCACAACGUUUAACUUGUUAUGCAUGGCGUAUCAUAACAUUUUACUCGUUAUACAUGGCGUGUCACAACAUUUUGAUUGCAAUGCAUGGCGUGUCACAACAUUUAUUCUUUAUUUAUGUCUUCAGUGUACCUUGUUGCACAUGACUGCUUAACUCACUGGUGUAUGUGUGCCAUAUUUUACAGAUCCAGCACAGACAGUAUGAGGAUCUUGACAGUUUGCUGAUCGUGUCGAAGGAGAAGUGGGCGUUCAAUGUCUCAAUUAUUACUCACUGUAAGUGGUCGCAGCUGCAUUACAUCAUAAAGACUCUCUAACAAAAUGGGGAGUAUGAUCUAGUUAAGCGUACCUGCUUCGGAAUGCUCUUGGACAUCUAUCCACAGGGGUACUUUUACGUCGGUCUCUUGCACAGCAUCAUGAUUCGUCGGAUCAUUGAGAGGCAGUCAAUGGACCACGAGCUAUGGUUUGCCAUUGGCAAGAGCAAGGCGCAGCUAUCAAAGUAAGAGUUCUGCCUCAUCACUGGGCUGAAGUUUGGUCCAAUGCCUGAUGUGUCAGACGACCGUACAAGGUAGUUACGGAUGGAAUUCAUGCAAGAUACUAGAACGGGAAAGGCAGCGUUAAGCUGCAGGCUUUGCUUGAUACCUUUCGCGAGGGCAACUUUCAGCGACCAAGAUGGCACUCAUCUUGAUCGCGAAUAACAUUUUAUUUGGUAAAGACUAACGUAGAUGGGUGACGCCUUGGUUGCUGUCAUUGGUGGAUGACAUCGACGCUUGGAAUGUCUUCCUAUGGGGGCACUAUGUUUGGAAGCUGACCUUGGACUACCUUUUGAAGGGGUUCGAAGUUCCUGACUUGAGCGUGCUAAAGGAAACUCGGUUACACUACAACAUUUACGGAUUCGCAUGGGUGAUAUAGGUACUAAAACAUAACAUUUUUCAGUUUCUUUUUGGACAAAAAAUUUAUGGGUGCAGUCGUUUAUAAUUGACGGUCUGAUAAGGGUUACAUUUGACAUGCGGUUCUGGGCAAUGGAGGCAAUUUCGGCCCUCCGAAAAAUAGUUACCCCCUCUGGUUCGAAGGACAACGUCCACCCAUGAAUGUGCAGAUGAGAUUGCAAUCAGAAGCCAAAAGACUUCUACAAGACAAUUCAGAAGUUAGAGUCAUCUGACAAAGUGAGUAAACAGCUGCUAAUUUUUGCGUUAUAUUUGUAAAAUAAUUUUCCCUAUUCGAUAAUGACAACAUUCUAUUUGUUUAUUUAUAGUUGUGGGCACUGGAGACUUUGGAACCCACCACAGAUAAGGCCCUCUGGGAGUAUUUUGAGGACCUUGAUGUCCCGUUAUCGGAGGGUAAUGAGUACGUGCCAAUAGGGCAUAUGGAGGAUCGGUCAGAUUGGGGCUUAGGUGCGAGGCAAAAAAAGAGAAGAUUGAAGGAGAAAAGAGCCUCUGGUGGCACGAAGCGGAUGCGCACAGUCGCUGCUUUAGUUGAUGAGUUGAUGGAUGAAGGGGACGACCAUGGUCAAGGCAAUGAACAGCUGGUAAAGACAAUUGUAACAGUUUUGUUUCUCCAAUUCCAUUUGUGAUUAUCGAAUAACAUUUCUAUGUUUGCAGCUGGACCAUGGGCCGGUAACUCCAGAACCACCCACCGGUCCUCCUCAGAUGCAGAGUGGAAACUACCCGUCGAUAAGAUCGAUUCUAACAGUUUGUAUUCUACAUUCCCACAUAUGUUUAUAGAGUAACACAGUAAUUUAUGUAAUUACAGUUUACGAAAACGAGGACAGGUCCUCAAGCACCAAUCAGUCCAGCCCAAUCGCAGACAGCUAACGAGCAGGCGGUAAGGAUAUUAAAGUUGUAACGGUUAAUGUUCAACAAUUCCAAACAUGAUUAUUGAAUAACACAGUUAUAUAUGUAAUUGCAGUUUACGGAAGCGAUGACAGGUCCUGAAGCACCGAUCAGUCCGGCUCCACCGCAAACUACUAAUGAACCGACGGUAAAGAUAUUAAAGUUGUAACAGUUAAUGUUCAACAAUUUCAUACAUGAUUAUUGAAUAACACAGUUAAAUAUGUAAUUACAGUAUGCGAAAGUGACGACAGGUCUUGAAGCACCGAUCGGUCCGACUCCACCGCAGAUUGCUAUUCAUGGUGUGUCACAACGUUUGAUUUUGAUAUGCAUGGCGUGUCAAAACAUUUUGCUUAUUAUCCUUGGCGUGUCACCAAGUUUAUCUUGUUAUGCAUGGCGUGUCAGAACAUUUUGCUUGUUAUCCUUGGCGUGUCACCAAGUUUAUCUUGUUAUGCAUGGCGUGUCAGAACAUUUUGCUUGUUAUCCUUGGCGUGUCACCAAGUUUAUCUUGUUAUGCAUGGCGUGUCACAACAUUUUAAUUGUUUUGCAUGACGUGUCACGACAUUUUCCUCGUUAUCCUUGGCGUGUCACCAAGUUUAUCUUGUUAUGCAUGACGUGUUACAACCUUUUAUAAUUUAUGGGUUGUGGUAUUUUAUGAGCUCCCUAAUGAUUUUUUCAAUUUUGUAGGGCGAUCCAUCUCACAGUGCUGGUCUGGAGCACGAUGAUGCUGAUAAUGGAUAGUAUCAUGAACCUGGUGUUGACAUUGACAAUGACGUUCUUGGUGCUGAUGGAGAGCACGUAACUCAUGUAGAUGACGUUGUCGAAGAAGCUGUGGUAGUGGAUGUCACCCUUCAGUCAGAUGAUGUUGAAAGAGAGCAUCUUCCUCCGGCCGAAGCAUUCGUCAACACAGCAGCAGGAGCUAUGGUUUUUUAUCGUGAGAGCACUCUUGAUGUAGUUGAGAUACGGUCGUCAUCACCAAAGUCAUCUGCUGUCCAUCAUGGUGCAACAGAAAUUUCAGACCCAACUAAGCGGCAUGACUGAAAAUGGCGAGCAAAUACAUGGCAAACCCAUUCGUCGACCCCUUAGUGACCCGUCUAGAUGUGAGGGAUAAAAUCGUAGAAGACUACGAAGCUUUCAAGAAAGAGGAGUCUGCGACGUAAGCUCGUAAAUAAAAUUGCAAAUAUUAUUUUUUAAUGAAACAGUUAUCCACCAAGACUUAUGAAAUUAAUUAUGUUACAUAUGCAGGCGUAAUGUCGGCAUCUUAGGGGAUCAAUGGGCUGACUUUUUCAUAACCUUAGAGGAUCCCAAUGAGGAAAUGACAAGUGAACAUAUCUACGCAUGCCUCAGCCUACUCUGCAAGCGAAUGACAGGGCCGAAGUCAAAGCUAUACAUUACCCGUGCAUGCAUGGUUGACACGAUAUUCUUCGUAAGUUUAUUUGAAAAUUGUUAAAUUCUACAAAUACUAAGUUUUUGAUUGCAUGAAGUGUAAGCUAAUGUUUACAUCUUUCACAGGACACCAUUCGUAUGCUACACACCGAAUUUCCAACAGAAGAUGCCCGAGCCAAAAUGCAAAUUCCAGAUGAGUUGCGGGGCUAUGUGGAGGGUGAAAGGCCAACGUACGCCAAAAAAUGGGAAGAUGUUGAUUUCAUUCUCGCGCCUUGCAACGUUGGUGGGCAUUGGGUGGUUGCGAAGAUCGACUUGGUGCGGUGGACGAUCAAGGUCGUGGACUCAACAAUAACUUCAGAUGCUAAGGAUAACGGAGUUCAUGCGGGUCAGAUGACACCCUUGACGACAAUGAUGUCAUUCAUUUGACACUCAGCCAGUUAUUUCAACAACAUACGUCAGAAAAGAUGGGAUUUGACGCUGAUGCUAUUAGAUAUUCAUUUGCCAAAAGCUAAAGUGCAUCGACAGAAUGAUAGUGUCAGCUGCGAUAUGUUCAUGAUAGGGUACAUCGAGCAUAUUUUGCAAUAAAAAAAGAUCGAAAUUAAGUAGAAUAUGAUUGCAAAAAUGCGUCGGCAAUAUGCUCUGAAAAUUUUUUUCAACAGUUGUGAGAGCAAACCCUGAACAUAUAGGCCCUUGUCUGUACAAUUUUUUUGGUACACAUAAAUUUUUUUAUACAAUUCAUUUUAUACACAUUUUUUGUAUACACAAUUUAUUGUAUACAAUUCAUUGUAAACAAAUAUAAUCCUUUAUGUAUACACAAUAUACUUUGUACAAUUAUUUGAUACACAAUUAAUUUUUUUGCCUAUACACAAUUAAUUUGAUACCAAGAAUUUUUUUCCUUUUCUAUAUACAAUAUAUUUAAUUUCAUACACAGUCGAAAAAAGUCAACGUGUGACGCCUUAAACAUGAUACCAGUCAGCGUGUCCCAACAUACAUCUACUUGCACUCAGUGUGUCACCCCAAAUUUCUGCAAUAAGUCAGCGUGUGACGUCGCUAAUCCACUAACACUCGGCAUGUCAACCGAGUAAUCUGCUUCCACUCAGUGUGUCAGAACAAUUGGGCCAUGGCGUGUUAUGCCAUAAAUCUCCAGAUACUCAACGUGUGACACCAUUAAUCUGCUUUUAGUCGACGUGUCAUAAGAAUUGGGCCGUCGCGUGUCACCCCAGUUUGGCAUUAAUUAAUUUUCAGGUUCGUCGUAUUUCUCUUCCAAGCACACCGGAUGCACUAACCCAACAUUACAUUGAUUAACAUUGAAUAUAUAGAUUUUUCCAUCCAUCUAAUUACUUCUAGCAUGAAAUUGUUCUGUAUCCAUCCUCCUUUUUUUUUCCAAUUAUUUUCAGGCCAAAAUUCUAUCCUGCCAUUAUAAAAUCGUACGUCUAAAUUUACACACCAGAACUUGUUAUGCAUGACGGGUCAGAACAAUUUAAUUGUUAUGCAUGGCGUGUUAUAACAUUUAACUUGUUAUGCAUGGCAUGUCACAACCUUUUUACUUGUUAUGCAUGGCGUGUCAGAACAUGUUGUUCAUUAUCCUUGGCGUGUCACUAAGUUUAUCUUGUUAUGCAUGGCGUGUCACAACCUUUUACUUGUUAUGCAUGGUGUGUCAAAACAUUUUGCUCGUUAUCCUUGACGUGUCACCAAGUUUAUCUUGUUAUGCAUGGCAUGUCACAACAUUUUACUUGUUAUGCAUGGCGUGUCAUUUCAUUUUUCUUGUUAUAAAUGGCGUAUUACAAUAUUUUAUUUGAUAUGCACGAUGUGUCACAACAUUUUACUUGUUAUGCAUGACGUGUCUCACAUUUAUUCCUUAUUUAUUUCUUCUAUAUACCUUGUUGCACAUUAUGGCUUAACUCACUGGUGCAUCUGUACCAUGUUUUGUAGAUCCAACGCAUAUAAUAUGAAGAUUUUGACAUUUUGUCUGCUCGGUCAUUCUAUGAGGCCCUUUUAGUUACGGACUUUGUUGCCAAACAUUUCAGGCAGAUAAGCAAAUACAUGGCUCCUGUCUGAUGGAGAUUGUAAUCGGAAACAUUUUUACGAACAAUGUAAGAAUGUACUUUAACACGAUCUUGAUCAGACAGAGGCCUUGACAUGCUUAUCUGCCUGAAAUGUUUGGCAACAAAGUCCGUAACUAAAAGUGCAUCAUAAAAUGAUCAAGCAAACAAAUCCGUAAAGCAAAACGAAUUCAAUUACAAUUUUCAGACACAUUUAGUUAGGCGGUCAAGCUGUCUUCAUUCACAACACACCUUAUAUUUUCAGAUAUUGUCCUUCAUAUUGGACAGUUGUUGCGUGAGUGACCAGUUUGUCUACAACUUGUACAUGUUUUGGGUCGGUGUAGUCGUGGAGUCGCUGAUUGACUUAGAGAUGGUGCUAGAUUUGUGGAUGGAACUGCAAAUGGGUAUGGGUAAUUUUGUCUGUUAUGCCCGUACCUCUUGUAUUGUGAACAUCUUCGUGCUCGACUACCUUCACUAGCUGAUGAAAUCCUUCUCCUCCUAGGUCUUCCUGUUUGACCUCGCCAAGGUGGGGGCAAGACUACAAUUUGUUUCACAUGAGGGGGGAUGUCCCACUCACUAGGAUGCCCUACCGACCUAAUGGAUCCUGAAUAACCCUUCACGAAAACGGUUGUCUUGUAGUAGCCAGCGCAUAAUUCAAUGGCUUCAUGAUUGUAUUUACUGAAAAACAUUAACAACUCAAUCUUCAAGCACAAUGUAAAUGCUAUGUCAAUUACGGUUCAAAUAAGAAAUAAAGAUAUUCUGACCUUAUUGCUGCAAUGGCAUGGCUGCAUGGUAGUAAAUCUGUUUGGAACUCACAACAUGAACACGUCUUCCUAGACAGGUUUACAAGUCCGUCCAUCUUCCCGUCUUUAACUUCGAACUCCACUCUAUUGAUAGGCUUAACUAAAAAGCGAUGUGCAUCAUUGAACCUUUUACUCAACUGAUUGGCAACCCAAGGGCUGAGGGGCGUGGUCACCUUGAUGGCCUCCUCAUACCAUUCAUGGAACCAACGCUAGAAUAUGUCUCUGAUGAACUCGAUCAAAAUAGUGAUUGGCAUUUGUCUUGCAUGCUUCAAGCAUGAGUUAACAUAUUCCGCAAUGUUGGAUGUCAUCAUUUGGUAUCGUCUUGCCGGUGAAAAUGCACGUGCCCAUUUCUCAUGCCCUAUUCUUAUAAGGUCCGCGUGGGCUCCCAAGUGAAUCUGCUGUAUCUAGUUCAUAUGCUUGUUGAAAUCGGCCACCUUAUAGCAAUCUCGAGCAAGGGUGAAAAGCAUACAAACAUCGUCGCUCUUGAACUUGUUUUUAAAGUUUUUUUUCAAGUGGUAAUCGCAUAAACCAUGGUGCGCUUCUGGGAAUGCAUUUUGGAUUGUUUUCUUAAUGCCGAGAUGCUGAUCAGAAAUGAACAUAGUGUUUUCAAGACAACCAACCGCAUCACGCAGCUUUCUAAGAAACCACGUCCACGAGUCUUCGUCCUCAAUAUGGCCGAUGCCAAACGCAAUUGGAUAUACGCACUCGUUCGCAUCUUUGCAUACAGCGACAAACAGAACACCUUUGAACCUACCUUUCAGAUGUGUCGCAUCAAUUGCAAUCGUAGGACGCAUUACAUCCCUAAACCCCCGAAUACAAGCCUCGUAUGACCAUAAACAAUAUUUGAAUCUUUUUUCCUCAUCAGUAGCCACUGCAGUCACUAUGCCAGGAUUUUUUUGUUCUACCAUAUAAAAAUACGAUGGUAGUAGCUGAAAUGACUCCUCCGAUGGAUCGAAAACAAGCCUCUCCGCAUACUCUUUCACUUGCCAAGCCUUACCAUACAAGCAUUCCAAUCCCCACUGAACCCUCAUAUCACAAAUUAUGUCUUUAGGUCUCAAUGCUACUCCAUUAGCCCGAAUCUUGUGUGACAUAAGUUCACUAAUCAUCUUCGCACUCGUAGUUGGAAACCACCCUUGCAAACCAUCAACGGUACAGGUGUGUACUUUGUGGAAUUUUUGAACUUUCAAAUAUUCUCCUCUAUCAAGUAACUUCGUUGCACGAACACUGAACUUGCAUGCCUUAUCCUUGCAACCAACCUCAUAACGAGCUUUACAUGACCUUUUUACUCUUAUCGCAAACUUCUCUUUUAUAGCCAACAUGUUCAAAGCUCAUUUCAACUCAGUCUUUGACGAAAACAUUCUUCCUUUGUAUAAGCGAUCUUCGGCACAUGUCGACUCCUCAGUGGUAAUUGUUUGGAAGGAGAACCUUUCUGCACCUGCAAUUACCCACGUACGAGAUAUCCUUGCAUUUCCCCUUUCCUGAUCACUGUCAUCGAGCAAUGUAUCAAGGGAAUGAAUCUCGUUCUCACCAGCAAUAGGGUUAUUGUAUAUGGGGUCAUCACACUGAACAUCUCAUACAUCAACACCUCCAACAGGUUUCGUUUCACCUUCAACAUUAUUACAAAUUGGAAUGUCACUGUCAUAAAGGCAGUCAUCGUCUGAACUGUCAUCUUGUGAUUGUUCAAGCCCAUCAUCUGAAAUGUGAUCAAAUCUAUCUUCACCGGUAGCGAACAAAUCCUCAUUUCCCUCAUCAAAUGCAGUAUUAUACUCCAGCGUCGUAAUGUCACCCUCCAACCUCACAUUGUUGUCCUCAACUGUCGUAUUCUCAUUUGACAAUGGCAUUACACAUUUUACAGUUUCACCCGAUCGUUGCAUUUUUUCAAGAGAAGCAAGAAAUUGGUUUGAUGCACAUCCUAAUCGAAAUUGUGCAGCCAACUAUUUUGUGAAUGUCGUCUGUCUACUGGGGCUGCACAAACUCUUGUGCGUACCUCAAUUGCCAUUGUUGUGGGUUACGGACUGAAUGUUGUGGUAUACGUGAAGCAUUGUAAAUCUCAUUUUGAUUGAGCUGAUUACCAUGUUGUCCAACUUCUCCAUGUGACAAGACAUUUGUUUGGCGUCCCUUAAUGCUGACAUACACAACCGAAACAUUUCUUUGUUCUAGCAAAAUUAAUGCAACAUCCUCAUCGUCCUUGAUAAUUGGCCGUAAUAGCUCUCCGGGUGUACUGAUCAAUGCAUGUAACUCAAUCUCGUCAAUUUUUGAGUUUACCCUAACAACAUCUUCAACCAGCUUCAUCAAGCCCACAAACGACAAAUCACUCCUAACCCCCCGCAUUCGUGACUCACCACCCUUCUAAAUGCCAUCCACCCACUAACCACCGUGUUUUAUCACAAGUCGCACAAUUGAAACCCCACUGAAUUUAAAAAAAAAUUGUCAAUCAUUUUACACAAUACAUGUCGUGAUAAAAAAUUUAUCAGUCGUGUUGUUACACGCCAUGCAAAUAACGUAAAAUGUUGUAACACGCCAUGCAUAUCAAGUCAAAUGUCGUGACACGCCAUGAAUCAGUAUCGUUACAUGCCAUGCAUCACUGUUGUGACACUACAAUCACUGUAAUUACUAACUGGUUACACCAACAUCCGUAACACGUUAAAAACCUAAAAAACCAGUUAACCCACGACACACCAGGAACAACCAUGACACGUCAAAAACCUAUAAAUUCAGUUAACCCACCACACCCUAAGAACAACCGUGACACGCUAACAACCCAAAUAACUAGUUAACCCACAACACGCCAGUAACAACCGUGACACGCUAAAAUAACAGUUCACUUAUGUUAUAGAUGCAUGGCGUGUAACAAUUCUGGGCAAUGUUUCUAAUCCAUCUUAUCAUUUACACUAAAUGUUUCAGAAAUUUAAGUGUGUUGCAGAAAUAAACCCAAUAACAGGUACCUUGAUGUCAUCUCUACUAUAGGGUGUGUUAAUCUACGACAAUGUCGUCAGAUACCGAGAGAUAGACCACAGCCCGAUGACAAUGGUGCUCAACAGAGAGUUGACAGAGCUCAUACAGUUCAGAGAUCUGAGAGAGCUGACAACGAUGGUGCUCAACAGAGACUUGCCAGAGUUGAGACAGAGAAAGAUGAUCGAGCCCAAACAGCUGCGCGUAUUUAUUUUUAAUGUUUUUCAUUUUCUCUCUGGCAGGAGGCAGAUGGCUCAAACAGCUGAGCAUUUAUUUGAAAUGAUGUUUUUAAGGGCAUUUUGGUCUACUCAUGUUUAUUUUUGGGUAGAAACAGACAACUUUAUAUGGGCGGUUAUUUAUGAAAUCACCUUAUCACGAGGUCCUUCUCUCACAAUUUUCUCAUUAUCCUAACUCGUUUAAAAACUCGAUUAUGUAAAAAAAUUAUUAAAAUGCUCUUCAUGGGUACCAGCACUCGAGUAUUUGACUCAUUGGUUGGUGCAUUAUCCCUCUAUUUAGAGAGUUGAGUUUGAAUUCCCCUUCCCUCAAUUAUAAAAAAAAAAUGCUAUUCAUGGGUAUCCCAUCACUCGAAUCCAAAUCCGUACUUAUAUCUAUAUACAAUAAUAUUUCUCCCACAUGUUUCAUAUAAUUUACUAAUUAUUAAAUUAAUAAAAACACACAAAUAAUAAAAUUUAAAUUUAAAUAAUUAAAAACAAAUAUCUCAAAUAUAAUUAAUAAUUUUAUAAGUUAUAAGUUUUGUAAUGUUAAUAAAAAAUAGAAACUAAAUAUGUUUAUAUUUAAAGUGUAUACAUACUAAAAGUAUUUUAGUAUAUAUAUAAUGGUAAGUAUAUUUCUUAUAAAUAAACCUAAUGUAUAAAAAGUAUAUAUAUUAAAAGACAUUACAAGUUAAUAAAUAAUCUAAGUUUCAUUAAUUAAUUUAAUUAAUUAUAUGAAUUUGUCCUUAAUUACAUAAAAUUAAAAAAAUAACUAAGUUUCAAAUCUCACAACUUUUCUUUAGAUUUAUAUAUUAUAAGUGUAUAUAAACAAAUGUAUAUAUAUUGUAAUUAAUAAUUUUAUAAUUUAUAUAUUUUUGUAAUGUUAACACAAAAUAGAGAGUAAAUAUGUUUAUAUUUAAAGUACAUACAUAUAUACUAAAAGUAUUUUAAUAUAUAUAACAGUAAUUAUAUUCCUUAUAAAUGAACUUAAUAUAUAUAAAGUAUAUAUAUUAAAAGACAUUAUAUGUUAAUUAAUAAUUAUAGUUUCAUGAAUUAAUUUAAUUAAUUAUAUAAGUUUGUCCUGAAUUACAGGAAAUUAAAAAAAAUAGCUAGGUUUUAAAACUAUUCAAAUUUCACAAUUUCUCUUUAGAUUUAUAUAUUAUAAGUAUAUAGAAAUAAAGGUAUGUAUAUUAUAAUUAAUAAUUUUAUAAAUUAUAAUUUUUUUAAUAUUAACACAAAAUAGAAAAUAAAUAUGUUUGUAUUUAAAAUAUAUAUUAAAAUAUUUUAAUAUAUAUAAUAGUAAUUAUAUUUCUUAUAAAUUAACAUAAUAUAUAAACUAUAUAUAUUAAAAGAUAUUACAAGUUAAUUAAUAAUCAUAUUUUUAAAAUGGCUAAAGGAACAUUGUUCGUACAUUGCAGUCUGGCUAUCAAAAGUCUCAUUGUCGAUCAAUUUCUGAAAUUUCUUUUGGUUCAUGAUUGUGCUUUUUUUAAUGGUCAGGAAAAUUCUAAAUACCCUGUACCAUCUGAUAAUGCAUGUGAAUAUACAGCUUGAACUUGAAACCCUUGGAAUAUAUCAGAUAAAAACAAUAUAAAAACUAGCAUUAAAAGUCUGACAGUGGGAGUUUCCUUUUCAUUGAUGCCCCAUUUUUCCCCCCAAUUCUGUUAAGGGUGAUACUUUUGGUUGAUACCUGCUCUUAUCCACCUUAAGAUUCUCACAAAAACUUUUCUUUUUUCUUUUGACGUGCCACUAAAAGUGCAUAGGUGACGAUUGUGUUCAUAAUUGGGCAGCAUUUCGGGCUGGAACAAAGAAUGAAAACAUUGAGUGGUGCAUAGAGCCCCUGGCCUGGGAUUUAGUGAUACUUACAAAGUAGGUGAGUUGACAACACUAAUUUGUACACAAAGAAAUGCUGUUUUUUUGCUGGUGGUUCAUUUGGGUACAGAGAUGGGUCAUAACAGAUUGCUCUAUUUGACAGUUGUCUUUAUUCUUUUGGAUGGGGACAUGGAACAUGUGCAUGCAGUCACAAGCAACUACUGAUCUGCUGGAGAGAAUAAGUGAUCCUGCAAAUUUUUAGCUUAGGAGAUAGAUGUAUACAAAGAGUGCUAAUAAUCCGUACAGAUUGUCCUAUUAGCCUGGCAAAUUUCUCUCUGUAAAUUAAUAUAAAGUUUUCAUAGGAUAAGAUGAUGAAAAUAAAGAUAAUAUGAUGAAAAUAAAAUAAUCUGAUACAAGUAUGUAAUCCAAAGAAGCCCCAGAAAAUGUCAACCUUUGGAUGCUAUCCAUAAAUGGAACAAAAAACUUAACAAACAAUUCAACCUUGCCAUGAAUCUGUGAUCUGCAAACCCAUGUUAGCUUGAAGAUUCAUGGGAAAUAGACAGGUUUCUUCUCCUCAAUUCGUUCAAUUUUGCAAUAUGCAUUGUGAAGUUCUUCUUAUGUUUGCUUGUCUACAACAUGUCCAGAUUUGAAGCUGAGUUCAGUGCAAUCGCAGACCCAGAGAUGAAUCUUUUUCCAUUUAUGGAGAUUAGGGAAUUCCAUCGGUGUAGAAAAGAUGCUAUGGUGUCAAUUGAGCUUGAUGAAUUAUGGCUAGACCGACAUAAAUCAAACUUUGGAGAAUGAUUACAAAUAGAUGAUCAUAUACCCUUUAAUUUUUUUUUAAAAAAUAUAAAGACAAAUUAAAUAACACAAACUUAAUUAUUCCUUCCAUUUUAUGAAAAAAAAAGAAUAUUGUUACCAUAGAAAAAGCUAUGCUACCUAUUCUUCUAUGACAAAAAUUACUAUGACAAUUCGUAACCGAACUUCAAUAAUUGAUGCAUCUAUUUUUUAUUUUAAAAAAAUAAAUUCAAAUUUUUUUAGAUAAUAAAAAAAAUUAUAGAGAAAUUUGAAUUUUCAUUUGUUGAACAUUUGAAUGAAAUUUCAGAUUAAAUAAAGUACAAUAACUAUUACUGUCGAAAUAAAUCAAAACUUGAUAGAUUCACGAGAUGUGAAAUAAAUAGAUACUUUUAUUUAUAUGGGCAUUUUAAAAAGUAGUCCUUAAAGAUAAGAUAUUUUUAAAAAUGACACUCUUUAUAGUUUUAACUAUUUUUAGCUAAGUUUGACAAAAUUACCCUUAAUGAAGUUACACGCUAUGAUGUUACACGUACAAAAAUCUAUAACAAGCCAUGGUUAGCAUGUUACACGCUAUGUACAAAAAUCUAUGACACGUCAUGUACAAAAACCUGUGAUAAGCCAUGGUUAGCGUGUGACACGCCAUGUACAAAAACAUGUGACACACUUGUACAAAAACCUGUGACAAGUCAUGAUUAGCGUGUGAAAUGCCAUGUACAAAAGCCUGUGACAAGCCAUGGUUAGUGUGUUACACGCCAUGUACCAAAGCCUAUGACAAGUCAUGGUUAGCGUGUGACACGCCAUAUACAAAAGCUUGUGAUAAACCAUGUACAAAAACCUGUGAAACUUCAAAUCCUUUCAAUAUUUUUUUUUAUUUUUUUUUUACAAUUUGGCAUAAAUUAAAGUGUUUCUAACAUGUUUUCAUAAAUCAAAAUACAAAUGUUUUUUUAUCUAAAGCACCCACUUUGACUAAAAAAAAAAAAAAUCUUUGAAAACCUAGAUUUAUAAAUUUCAAAAUUUUGAGUUUAUUGAUAUCUAGGUCAUUAAUUGAUUCAAUUAAAAACUAUUUUAUACAUUUGUGAUUAUUUCUACCGUUUUAGUUUUAUUCAAAAUACCUAAAAAUCGAAUUUUUCAAACAGCCACCCAUCCAAGCAUAUCAAAACCAUUGCUUGGUGUCUUGAAAGCAUAAAAAAAAGAAAUCUGAAAACGUGAGAGAGAGAAAUCGUAAGCAUAGCAAACGAAUACCGAACAGAAAAAUCGAUAAAAUUUGAGAGACUGAGAUGGUGAGAGAGAAAUCUGAAGCACAAAUGGGGAGAAAUUGUGAUAAAUGGUUUAAUUUAUUUGAAAUAGUUUAAAGGGUAUUUUCGUCAAAUCAUGACUAAAUAUGGCUAAAAAUAGUUACAUUUAUUUUGAUAGUUACUUUAAAAUAUUUUUAUCAAAAAAUGUCAUUUUCCAUAAUUUUCUCUUAUUUAUAUAUAGAACAUACAAAAUUACACACUUUAUUUACUUAUCAUACAAACUUAAUUUUACAUCACUUAGGAAGACAAACUCACAAAUACUAGUAUUGAUUUGGUACAAAACUAUUUUUUAUUUUUUAUUUUUCCAAGAUUUUUUUUUCUAUUUUUAAUCUUAUCAUGAGAAACCGGCAAAUCUUGGAUACAUACCCUACGUCCACAUCCCGUAAAUAUAUAUACAUAGCUUGAGUUCUAGAUUAUUCAGGCUCCCACCUUCUAGGAGUUGAGAGUGAAAGCCAUCCACCUAAGGCUUUGCUUGCUGGGUCUGGUCUUUCGGGGGCUCUGCUGUCUUGUUCCUAGGUCCGACAAAUGCCUGGAUCAAGCAUGGAGGCUCAGGUUUCCUGUUUACCAACUUAACCAACAGCUGGAUCAAGCACCGCAAAAUUAAAGGCGCAGCAGCUGUGAUCAAGGCGAGUUGAAAUUUGUCUCCAUCCCGGGUAACAGCAAAGAUUGCAGAUCCAUAAGUUAUAAUCAUUGAAACGCAGGCAACCCUUACUUCAAACUUGAAAGGAAAAGUAUGCGUGAGAGACAUAAUGAGAAGUACCGCUGCAGAAAAGGCUAGGGUGUUGGAAGUCAAGAAAACGUAGUAGGCAUCUGAGUCAGAUGAACAGAUAGCAAUGCCUGCUUUAUGGCCAUUCUUGGUUUCCUGCCAUACACCACCAGGGGGGUUAACCCCAGCUUGGAAGGUCACGGCAGCUAUAAGGGUCGCAACUACCAAGAGAGCGUUGCGGGCGUCGGCUCUAUUCUUAUCCCUGUCCUCCUCGUUUGCACCUUCCUUGUACUGAAAAUAACGACACCAGUCCUUGAAAGUAGUCCCAACCAUUGUUUUC
rnacentral:lncRNA from 1 species